rnacentral:lncRNA from 1 species
UUUUUUUUGCAUGCAUCGUAAUUUUAGAGCGGAAAAACUAUUUUUUUUUUGCAAGGGUAAAAGAGUUUUAUUCCAUAAUCAUAGGGUUACAAUUGAGAGGCAAAAGUUCCUUAAUACACUGUGGUCCUCUACCUAGCCAUACAACAAUAAUACUCUCCGUACGACUAUAAAAUGCCAAACGAUUAGCUACCCUAUUUUUUCACGUUUAACUUCCGGAUAAGAUGAUGAAUUUCAGCAACUAGAUGUCCAUAUGNNNNNNNNNNNNNNNNNNNNNNNNNNNNNNNNNNNNNNNNNNNNNNNNNNNNNNNNNNNNNNNNNNNNNNNNNNNNNNNNNNNNNNNNNNNNNNNNNNNNNNNNNNNNNNNNNNNNNNNNNNNNNNNNNNNNNNNNNNNNNNNNNNNNNNNNNNNNNNNNNNNNNNNNNNNNNNNNNNNNNNNNNNNNNNNNNNNNNNNNNNNNNNNNNNNNNNNNNNNNNNNNNNNNNNNNNNNNNNNNNNNNNNNNNNNNNNNNNNNNNNNNNNNNNNNNNNNNNNNNNNNNNNNNNNNNNNNNNNNNNNNNNNNNNNNNNNNNNNNNNNNNNNNNNNNNNNNNNNNNNNNNNNNNNNNNNNNNNNNNNNNNNNNNNNNNNNNNNNNNNNNNNNNNNNNNNNNNNNNNNNNNNNNNNNNNNNNNNNNNNNNNNNNNNNNNCAUAUUGCAUGUAAUUCGGCCUCCAAAGCGUCAUUGUAGUUAAAUAUGCAUCCGUAGGCUGCAAAGAUAACGUUACUUACAUUACCUUUAUCUAUUCUGUCGCAUCUCCCUCUGUCAAUUUCUUUGCUCUAUCGUCAAACAAUUUCUCUGAACUAAGAAAUCCUCUGGUAAGCGUUCGGAAUUGUUUUUCAUAUCCCUCUAUCAUGCCAAAAUUGUUCUUCAUAUAUAUGAAUUAUUUUUGAAUCCUUUUUAACUAUGGAGUUUCAUUGUAAAAGGGAUGGCAAGUUUUGUAUGUUUUUUAGCUAAAAUAAGUCGUGCGCAUAUAUAUGAAUUACUUUUGAAUCUUGUUAGGAAACUUUCCCAUCGAACAAAAUCGUUCGGUCCGCUAGCUACCCCAUUGAGCUGGAAAGAAUCUUUCGCUACGAUAGGCUCCAAGAUCUGACGUUCGGUAGUUAUCAAUGUCCUUUAUUAAAUAGUACUUCGUUGUAGGUCUAUAGUGAGAAACUACAUGUACAUGCGGAUAAAAAAGAUUUUUUUUUGGAAUUCCCAAGCGUUCUGUUCCAUUUUUUAAGAAAAAAAAGAACUGAAUCUCUAUUUUAGCGUGCUCAUUGCAAAGAACCUGUGCUAAAGAUAGAGUCAAGUCAAGUCUGUUCCUGAUUACUAGGAUUAUCCAUCACCUACUCCGUCUUCUUAUCUUAUCGGUGAAUUAUAUAUGAGAGGUGAUGGAGGUUUAUGGCUCCAGCUGCUUGAGGCGAAAUAUCUACGGAGAACCCUUGCUGGCUUGUUCUCGCUCCGCUGGCUUGAGGUCCAUCCAAGCUGUUGAAGAUGAGAUCCGGCUGGGUGCUACCUUCUCAGUUGGCAAUGGGAAUAGCACCUAGUUCUGACUGACCCCUGGCUUCAUGGGGAACCGCUCCGCUUUCAAUUCCCUAGGCUCUUUGCUAUCUGUGUACACCCGAAACUCCUCGUCUCCGAAGCCAGUCUAGACGGGCAGUGGAACAUCGCGUUCCGCCGCUCCUUUGGACUGCCUGAAGUGCUUGAGUGGGACGGCUUGAGGGAAGUAGUCCCUCUCCCACUGUCCCUGUCCCCUGACUCUGUUGCCUGGAGUCUCUCUCCUUCGAGAGAGUUCUCUGUGAGUUCUGCUUAUUAGGCGCUCUGCCGCCUUCAUGUCAUUCAAUGGUUGUCCGUUCUUUGGAAGGCGCCAUUACCCCUAAAGAUCAAGAUUUUCGUUUGGCAGCUCCUGCGUGACCGCCUUCCCUCUAGGACAGAGGUUCUUAAGUGCAUGGCCCGGGUGAUGGUACUUGCCCCCUAUGUCACUGAAGGAAAUAUGCCCUAGAGGCAAUAAUAAAGUUAUUAUUUAUUUCCUUAUAUCACGAUAAAUGUUUAUUAUUCAUGCUAGAAUUGUAUUAACCGGAAACUUAGUACAUGUGUGAAUACAUAGACAAACAUAGUGUCACUAGUAUGCCUCUACUUGACUAGCUCGUUAAUCGAAGAUGGUUGAGUUUCCUAGCCAUGGACAUGAGUUGUCAUUUGAUUAACGGGAUCACAUCAUUAGGAGAAUGAUGUGAUUGACUUGACCCAUUCCGUUAGCUUAGCACUUGAUCGUUUAGUAUGUUGUUAUUGCUUUCUUCAUGACUUAUACAUGUUCCUAUGACUAUGAGAUUAUGCAAGUCCCGUUUACCGGAGAAACACUUUGUGUGCUACCAAACGUCACAACGUAACUGGGUGAUUUUAAAGGUGCUCUACAGGUGUCUCCGAAGGUAUUUGUUGGGUUGGUGUAUUUCGAGAUUAGGAUUUGUCACUCCGAUUGUCGGAGAGGUAUCUCUGGGCCCUCUCGGUAAUGCACAUCACUAUACGCCUUGCAAGCAAUGUGACUAAUGAGUUAGUUGCGGGAUGAUGCAUUACGGAACGAGUAAAGAGACUUCCCAGUAACGAUAUUGAACUAGGUAUUGAGAUACCGACGAUCGAAUCUCGGGCAAGUAACAUACCGAUGACAAAGGGAACAACGUAUGUUGUUAUGCGGUUUGACCGAUAAAGAUCUUCGUAGAAUAUGUGGGAGCCAAUAUGAGUAUCCAGGUUCCGCUAUUGGUUAUUGACCGGAGAUGUGUCUCGGUCAUGUCUACAUAGUUCUCGAACCCGUAGGGUCCGCACGCUUAAUGUUCAGUGACGAUUUGUAUUAUGAGUUUAUGUGAUUUGAUGUACCGAAGGUAGUUCGGAGUCCCGGAUGAUAUUGGGGACAUGACGAGGAGUCUCGAAAUGGUCGAGACGUAAAGAUCGAUAUAUUGGACGACUAUAUUCAGACAUCGGAAAGGUUCCGAGUGGUUCGGGUAUUUUUCGGAGUACCGGAAAGUUACGGGAAUACGGGGGAAGAAGUAUAUGGGCCUUAUUGGGCUUUAGGGGAGAGAGAGAGGCAGGCCGCGCGCCCCCAAUGACUAGUCCGAAUUGGACUAGGGGGAGGGGCGGCGCCCCCUCCUUCCUUCUCUUCCCUCUUCCCCUUCCUUGUCUCCUACUCCUACUACUUGGAAGGGGAGGAAUCCUACUCCCGGUGGGAGUAGGACUCCUCCAGGGCGCGCCAUAGGGGCCGGCCCUCUCCCCCUCCUCCACUUCUUUAUAUACGUGGCCAGGGGGCACCCCAUAGACACAACAAUUGAUCAUUGAUCUUUUAGCCGUGUGCGGUGCCCCCCUCCACCAUAAUCCACCUCGGUCAUAUCGUAGCGGUGCUUAGGCGAAGCCCUGCGUUGGUAGCAUCAUCAUCACCGUCAUCACGUCGUCAUGCUGACGGAUCUCUCCCGCAAAGCUCUGCUGGAUCGGAGUUCGUGGGACGUCAUCGAGCUGAACGUGUGCAGAACUCGGAGGUGCCGUGCUUUCGGUACUUGGAUCGGUCGGAUCGUGAAGACGUACGACUACAUCAACCGCGUUGUCAUAACGCUUCCGCUUUUCGGUCUACGAGGCUACGUGGACAUACUCUCCCCUCUCGUUGCUAUGCAUCACCAUGAUCCUGUGUGUGCAUAGGAUUUUUUUUGAAAUUACUACGUUCCCCAACAGUGGCAUCCGAGCCUGGUUUUAUGCGUAGAUGUUAUAUGCACGAGUAGAACACAAGUGAGUUGUGGGCGAUACAAGUCAUACUGCUUACCAACAUGUCAUACUUUGGUUCGGCGGUAUUGUUGGACGAAGCGGCCCGGACCGACAUUACGCGUACGCUUACGCGAGACUGGUUCUACCGACGUGCUUUGCACACAGGUGGCUGGCGGGUGUCAGUUUCUCCAACUUUAGUUGAACCGAGUGUGGCUACGCCGGGUCCUUGAGAAGUUUAAAACAACACUAACUUGACGAACUAUCGUUGUGGUUUUGAUGCGUAGGUAAGAACGGUUCUUGCUCAGCCCAUAGCAGCCACGUAAAACUUGCAACAACAAAGUAGAGGACGUCUAACUUGUUUUUGCAGGGCAUGUUGUGAUGUGAUAUGGUCAAGGCAUGAUGCUAUAUUUUAUUGUAUGAGAUGAUCAUGUUUUGUAACCGAGUUAUCGGCAACUGGCAGGAGCCAUAUGGUUGUCGCUUUAUUGUAUGCAAUGCAAUCGCCCUGUAAUGCUUUACUUUAUCACUAAGCGGUAGCGAUAGUCGUAGAAGCAAUAGUUGGCGAGACGACAAUGAUGCUACGAUGGAGAUCAAGGUGUCGCGCCGGUGAAGAUGGUGAUCAUGACGGUGCUUCGGAGAUGGAGAUCACAAGCACAAGAUGAUGAUGGCCAUAUCAUAUCACUUAUAUUGAUUGCAUGUGAUGUUUAUCCUUUAUGCAUCUUAUUUUGCUUUUAUUGACGGUAGCAUUAUAAGAUGAUCUCUCACUAAAUUUCAAGAUAAAAGUGUUCUCCCUGAGUAUGCACCGUUGCCAAAGUUCGUCGUGCCGAGACACCAAGUGAUGAUCGGGUGUGAUAAGAUCUACAUUCAUCUACAACGGGUGCAAGCCAGUUUUGCACACGCAAAAUACUCAGGUUAAACUUGACGAGCCUAGCAUAAGCAGAUAUGGCCUCGGAACACUGAGACCGAAAGGUCGAGCGUGAAUCAUAUAGUAGAUAUGAUCAACAUAGUGAUGUUCACCAUUGAAAACUACUCCAUCUCACGUGAUGAUCGGACAUGGUUUAGUUGAUUUGGAUCACGUGAUCACUUAGAUGAUUAGAGGGAUGUCUAUCUAAGUGUGAGUUCUUAACUAAUAUGAUUAAUUGAACUUUAAUUUAUCAUGAACUUAGUCCUGGUAGUAUUAGCAUAUCUAUGUUGUAGAUCAAUAGCUCGCGUUUAGCUCCCCUAUUUUAUUUUUGAUAUGUUCCUAGAGAAAACUAAGUUCAAAAAUGUUAGUAGCAAUGAUGCGGAUUGGAUCCGUGAUCUGAGGUUUAUCCUCAUUGCUGCACAGAAGAAUUAUGUCCUUGAUGCACCGCUAGGUGACAGACCUAUUGCAGGAGCAGAUGCAGAUGUUAUGAACGUUUGGCUAGCUCAAUAUGAUGACUACUUGAUAGUUUAGUGCACCAUGCUUAACGGCUUAGAAUCGGGACUUCAAAGACGUUUUGAACGUCAUGGACCAUAUGAGAUGUUCCAGGAGUUGAAGUUAAUAUUUUAAGCAAAUACCCGAGUUGAGAGAUAUAAAGUCUCCAACAAGUUCUAUAGCUAAAAGAUGGAGGAGAAUAGCUCAAGCAGUGAGCAUGUGCUCAGAUUGUCUGGGUACUACAAUCGCUUGAAUCAAGUGGGAGUUAAUCUUCCAGAUAAGAUAGUGAUUGACAGAAUUCUCUAGUCACCAUCACCAAGUUAGUAGAACUUCGUGAUGAACUGUAGUAUGCAAGGGAUGACGAAAAUGAUUCCCGAGCUUUUCAUGAUGAUGAAAUCGACGAAGGUAGAAAUCAAGAAAAGCAUCAAGUGUUGAUGGUUGACAAGACCACUAGUUUCAAGAAAAGGGCAAAGGGAAGAAGGGGAACUUCAAGAAGAACGGCAAGAAAGUUGCUACUCAAGUGAAGAAGCCCAAGUCUGGACCUAAGCCUGAUACUAAGUGCUUCUACUACAAAGGAAAUGGUCACUGGAAGCGGAAAUGCCCUGAAUAUUUGGUGGAUAAGAAGGAUGGCAAAGUGAACAAGGGUAUAUUUGAUAUACAGGUUAUUGAUGUGUACCUUACUAGUGUUUAUAGUAGCCCUGGGUAUUUGGUACUUGUUCGGUUGCUAAAAGUUAGUAACUCAAAACAGGAGUUACAGAAUAAACAGAGACUAGUUGAGGGUGAAGUGAUGAUGUGUGUUGGAAGUAGUUCCAAGAUUGAUAUAAUCAUCAUCGCACACUCCCUAUACUUUCGGGAUUAGUGUUGAACCUAAAUAAGUGUUAUUUGGUGUUUGCGUUGAGCAUGAAUAUGAUUUGAUCAUGUUUAUUGCAAUACGGUUAAUCAUUUAUGUUGGAAAUAUGCCCUAGAGGCAAUAGUAAAAUGGUUAUUAUUGUAUUUCCUUGUUCAUGAUAAUUGUCUGUUGUUCAUUGUAUAAUUGUAUUAACUGGAAACUGUAAUACAUGUGUGAAUACAUAGACCACAACAUGUCCCUAGUAAGCCUCUAGUUGACUAGCUCGUUGAUCAAUAGAUGGUUAUGGUUUCCUGAUCAUGGACAUUGGAUGUCAUUGAUAACGGGAUCACAUCAUUAGGAGAAUGAUGUGAUGGACAAGACCCAAUCCUAAGCAUAGCACAAGAUCGUGUAGUCCGUUUGCUAGAGCUUUUCUAAUGUCAAGUAUCAUUUCCUUAGACCAUGAGAUUGUGCAACUCCCGGAUACAGUAGGAAUGCUUUGGGUGUACCAAACGUCACAACGUAACUGGGUGGCUAUAAAGGUGCACUACAGGUAUCUCCGAAAGUGUCUGUUGGGUUGGCACGAAUCGAGACUGGGAUUUGUCACUCCGUAUGACGAAGAGGUAUCGCUGGGCCCACUCGGUAAUGCAUCAUCAUAAUGAGCUCAAUGUGACUAAGGAGUUAGCCACGGGAUCACGCGUUACAGUACGAGUAAAGUGACUUGCCGGUAACGAGAUUGAACAAGGUAUUGGGAUACCGACGAUCGAAUCUCGGGCAAGUAACGUACCGAUUGACAAAGGGAAUUGUAUACGGGAUUGAUUGAAUCCUCGACAUCGUGGUUCAUCCGAUGAGAUCAUUUUGGAACAUGUGGGAGCCAACAUGGGUAUCCAGAUCCCGCUGUUGGUUAUUGACCGGAGAGUCGUCUCGGUCAUGUCUGCAUGUCUCCCGAACCAGUAGGGUCUACACACUUAAGGUUCGGUGACGCUAGAGUUGUAGAGAUAUUAGUAUGCGGUUAACCGAAAGUUGUUCGGAGUCCCGGAUGAGAUCCCGGACGUCACGAGGAGUUCCGGAGGUAAAAAUUUAUAUAUGGGAAGUCCUAUUUUGGCCACCGGAAAAUGUUCGGGAUUUUUCGGUAUUGUACCGGGAAGGUUCUAGAAGGUUCCGAAGUGGGGCCCACCUGCAUGGGGGGACCCACAUGAACAUGGGUAGUGGGGGAAAGGCCCCACACCCCUGGUCAAGGCGCACCAAGAUCCCACCUUAGAAGGAAUAAGAUCAUAUCCCGAAGGGAUAAGAUCAAGAUCCCUAAAAAAGGGGGAUAACAAUCGGUGGGGAAGGGAAAUGAUGGGAUUUCUUUCCCCCACCUUUGCCAACGCCCCAAUGGACUUGGAGGGCAAGAAACCAGCCCCCUCCACCCCUAUAUAUAGUGGGGAGGCGCAUGGGAGCAGCACCCCAAGCCCUGGCGCCUCCCUCCCUCCCGUGACACCUCUUCCUCCCCGCUUGCGCUUGGCGAAGCCCUGCCGGGAUCCCGCUACUUCCACCACCACGCCGUCGUGCUGCUGGAUCUCCAUCAACUUCUCCUCCCCCCUUGCUGGAUCAAGAAGGAGGAGACGUCCCCGCAUCGUACGUGUGUUGAACGCGGAGGUGUCGUCCGUUCGGCGCUAGGAUCAUCGGUGAUUUGGAUCACGACGAGUACGACUCCAUCAACCCCGUUCUCUUGAACACUUCCGCUCGCGAUCUACAAGGGUAUGUAGAUGCACUACUCCCCUCUUGUUGCUAGCAUCUCCUAGAUUGAUCUUGGUGACACGUAGGAAAAUUUUGAAUUUCUGCUACGUUCCCCAACAGUGGUAUCAGAGCCAAGUUUAUGCGUAGAUUCUAUGCACGAGUAGAACACAAAGUAGUUGUGGGCGACGAUUUGUUCAAUUGGCUUACCGUUACUAGUCUUAUCUUGAUUCGGCGGCAUUGUGGGAUGAAGCGGCCCGGACCGACCUUACACGUACUCUUACGUGAGAUAGGUUCCACCGACUGACAUGCACUUGAUGCAUAAGGUGGCUAGCGGGUGUCUGUCUCUCCCACUUUAGUCGGAUCGGAUUCGAUGAAAAGGGUCCUUAUGAAGGGUAAAUAGCAAUUGGCAUAUCACCGUUGUGGCUUUUGCGCAGGUAAGAAACGUUCUUGCUGGAAACCCAUAGCAGCCACGUAAAACAUGCAACAAUAAUUAGAGGACGUCUAACUUGUUUUUGCAGGGUAUGCUAUGUGAUGUGAUAUGGCCAAAAGGAUGUGAUGAAUGAUAUAUGUGAUGUAUGAGAUUGAUCAUGUUCUUGUAAUAGGAAUCACGUCUUGCAUGUCGAUGAGUAUGACAACCAGCAGGAGCCAUAGGAGUUGUCUUAAUUUAUUGUAUGACCUGCGUGUCAAUGAAAAACGCCAUGUAAUUACUUUACUUUAUUGCUAACCGUUAGCCAUAGUAGUAGAAGUAAUAGUUGGCGAGACAACUUCAUGAAGACACGAUGAUGGAGAUCAUGGUGUCAUGCCGGUGACGAAGGUGAUCAUGCCGCGCCUCGAAGAUGGAGAUCAAAAGGUGCAAGAUGAUAUUGGCCAUAUCAUGUCACUUUAUGAUUUGCAUGUGAUGUUUGUCAUGUUUACAUCUUAUUUGCUUAGAACGACGGUAGCAUAAAUAAGAUGAUCCCUCACUAAAAUUUCAAGAGAUGUGUUCCCCCUAACUGUGCACCGUUGCGAAGGUUCUUUGUUUCGAAGCACCACGUGAUGAUCGGGUGUGAUAGAUUCUAACGUUCGCAUACAACGGGUGUUGACGAGCCUAGCAUGUACAGACAUGGCCUCGGAACACAAGCAAAACACUUAGGUUGACUUGACGAGCCUAGCAUGUACAGACAUGGCCUCGGAACACAAGAGACCGAAAGGUCGAACAUGAGUCGUAUAGUAGAUACGAUCAAUAUGGAGAUGUUCACCGAUGAUGACUAGUCCGUCUCACGUGAUGAUCGGACACGGCCUAGUCGAUUCGGAUCAUGUAUCACUUAGAUGACUAGAGGGAUGUCUAUCUAAGUGGGAGUUCAUUAAAUAAUCAGAUGAACUUAAUUAUCAUGAACAUAGUCAAAAGGUCUUUGCAAAUAAUGUCGUAGCUUACGCUUUAGUUCUACUAAGAUAUGUUCCUAGGGAAAAUUUAGUUGAAAGUUGAUAGUAGCAAUUAUGCGGACUGGGUCCGUAAACUGAGGAUUGUCCUCAUUGCUGCACAGAAGGCUUAUGUCCUUAAUGCACCGCUCGGUGUGCUGAACCUCGAGCGUCGUCUGUAGAUGUUAUGAAACAUCUGACAUACACGUUUUGAUGACUACGUGAUAGUUCAGUGUGUGAUGCUAACGGUUUAAAAUUGUGGCACCAAAGACGGUUUUGAAACGUCGCAGAACAUAUGAGAUGUUCCAAAGACUGAAAUUGGGAUUUCAGACUAAUGCCCACGUCAAGAGGUAUGAGACCUCAGACAAGUUUCUUAAGCCUGCAAACUAAGGGAGAAAAUCUCAAUCGUUGAGCAUGUGCUCAGAUUGUCUGAGUACUACAAUCACUUGAAUCGAGUGGGAGUUAAUCUUCCAGAUGAGAUAGUGAUGGUUCUCCAUAGUCACUGCCACCAAGCUAUUAGAGCUUCGUGAUGAACUAUAACAUAUCAGGGCUAGACAUGAUGAUCCUUGAGCAACUCGUGAUGUUUGACACCGCGAAAGUAGAAAUCAAGAAGGAGCAUCAAUUGUUGAUGGUUGGUAAAACCACUAGUUUCUAGAAGGGCAAGGGCAAGAAGGGAUACUUCAUGAAACAGAAAAUCAGUUGCUGCUCUAGUGAAGAAACCCAAGGUUGAACCCAAACCUGAGACUAAGUGCUUCUGAAAUGAGGGGAACGGUCACUGAAGCGGAACUACCCUAGAUACUUCAUAGAUGAGAAGGCUGGCAAGGUCGACAGAAGUAUAUUGGAUAUACAUUAUAUUAAUGUGUACUUUACUAGUACUCCUAGUAGCACCAGGGUAUUAGAUACCGGUUCGGUUGCUAAGUGUUAGUAACUCGAAAUAAAAGCUGCGGAAUAAACGGAGACUAGCUAAAGGUGAGAUGACGAUAUGUGUUGGAAGUGUUUCCAAGGUUGAUGUGAUCAAGCAUCGCAUGCUCCCUCUACCAUCGAGAUUGGGGUUAAACCUGAAUAAUUAUUAUUUGGUGUUUGCGUUGAGCAUAGACAUGAUUGGAUUAUGUUUAUCACAAUACAGUUAUUCAUUAAAGGAGAAUAAUGGUUACUCUGUCUAUUUGAAUAAUACCUUCAAUGGUCUUGCACCUAAAAUGAAUGGUUUAUUGAAUCUCGAUCGUAGUGAUACACAUGUUCAUGCCAAAAGAUAUAAGAUAGUAAUGAUAGUACCACAUACUUGUGGCACUGCCACUUGAGUCAUAUUGGUAUAAAACGCAUGAAGAAGCUCCAUGUUGAUGGAUCUUUGGACUCACUCGUUUUUGAAAAGAUUGAGACAUGCGAACCAUGUCUAUUAGUAUAUAUGCAUGAAGAAAGUCCAUACAGAUGGAUCAUUUGGACUCACUUGAUUUUGAAUCACUUGAGACAUGCAAAUCAUACCACAUGGGCAAGAUGACUGAAAGGCCUCGUUUUCAGUAAGAUGGAACAAGAGAGCAACUUGUUGGAAGUAAUACAUUUGAUGUGUGCAGUCCAAUGAGUGCUGAGGCACGCAGUGGAUAUCAUUAUGUUCUUACUUCACAGAUGAUUUGAGUAGAUGCUGAGAAUAUUUACUUGAUGAAACACAAGUCUAAAUUAUUGAAAGGUUCAAGUAAUUUCAGAGUGAAGUUGAAGAUCGUCGUGACAAGAGGAUAAAAUGUCUAUGAUAUGAUCAUAGAGAUGAAUAUCUGAGUUACGAGUUUGGCACACAAUUAAGAAAUUGUGGAAAUUGUUUCACGACUAAUACCGCCUGGAACACCAUAUUGUGAUGGUGUGUCCGAACAUCAUAACUACACCCUAUUGGAUAUGGUGCAUACCAUGAUGUCUCUUAUCGAAUUACAACUAUCGUUUAUGGGUUAGGCAUUAGAGACAACCGCAUUCACUUUAAAUAGGGCACCACGCAAUUCCGUUGAGAUGACACCGUAUGAACUAUGGUUUAGAGAAACCUAAGCUGUCGUUUCUUAAAAGUUUGGGUCUGCGACGCUUAUGUGAAAAAGUUUCAGGCUGAUAAGCUCGAACCCAAAGCGGAUAAAUGCAUCUUCAUAGAAUACCCAAAACAGUUGGGUAUACCUCCUAUUUCAGAUCUGGAAGCAAAAGUGAUUGUUUCUAGAAAUGGGUCCUUUCUCGAGGAAAAGUUUCUCUCGAAAGAAUUAAGUGGGAGGAUGGUGGAGACUUGAUGAGGUCAUUGAACCGUCACUUCAACUAAUGUGUAGCAGGGCACAGGAAGUUGUUCCUGUGGCACCUACACCAAUUGAAGUGGAAGCUUAUGAUAGUGAUCAUGAAACUUCAGAUCAAGUCACUACCAAACCUCAUAGGACGACAAGGAUGCGUACUACUUCAGAGUGGUACGUAAUCCUGUCUUGGAAGUCAUGUUGCUAGACAACAAUGAACCUACGAGCUAUGGAGAAGCGAUGGUGGGCCUGGAUUCCGACGAAUGGCUCGAGGCCAUAAAAUCCGAGAGGAUCCAUGUAUGAAAACAAAGUAUAGACUUUGAAAGAACUACUUGAUGGUCGUAAGGCUGUUGGGUACAGAUGGAUUUUAAAGGGAAGACAGACAAUGAUGGUAAGUGUCACCAUUAAGAAAGCUCGACUUGUCGUUAAGAUGUUUUCCGGCAAGUUCAAGGAGUUGACUGCGAUGAGACUUUCUCACUCGUAGCGAUGCUAAGAGUCUGUUAGAAUUAUAUUAGCAGUUACUACAUUAUUUAUGAAAUCUUGCAGAUAGGAUGUCAAAACAUUGUUUCCUCGACGAUUUUCUUGAGGAAAGGUUGUAUGUGAUACAACCAGAAGGUUUUGUCAAUCCUGAAAGAUGCUAACAAGUAUGCAAAGCUCCAGCAAUCCUUCUAAGGAUUGGAGUAAGCAUCUCGGAGUUGGAAUGAACGCUUUGAUGAGAUGAUCAAAGAUUUUGGGUUUAUACAAAGUUCAUGAGAAACUUGUAUUUCCAAAGAAGUGAGUGGGAGCACUAUAGAAUUUUUGAUGAGUAUAUGUUGUUAACAUAUUGUUGAUCAGAAAUGAUGUAGAAUUUCUGGAAAGCAUCCAGGGUUAUUUGAAAAGUGUUUUUAAUGGAAAACCUGGAUUAAGCUACUUGAACAUUGAGCAUCAAGAUCUAUAAGGAUAGAUCAAAAACGCUUAAUUGUACUUUCAAAUGAAUACAUACCGUGACAAGAUUUUGAAGGAGUUCAAAAUAGAUCAGCAAAGGAGUUCUUGGCUGUGUUACAAGGUGUGAGUAUUGAGUAAGACUCAAGACCUGACCACGGCAGAAGAAAGAGAAAGGACGAAGGUCGUCCCCUAUGCUUUAGACAUAGGCUCUACAAUAUGCUAUGCUGUGUACCACACCUGAAGUGUGCCUUGCCAUGAGUUAGUCAAGGGGUACAAUAGUGAUCCAGGAAGGGAUCACAUGACAGCGGUCGAACUUAUCCUUAGUAUCUAGUGGACUAAGGAAUUUUCUCGAUUAUGGAGGUGGAAAGGGGGUUCGUCGUAAAGGGUUACGUCGAUGCAAACUUUGACACUAAUCCGGAUGACUCUGAGUAGUGAACCGGAUUCGUAUAGUAGAGCAGUUAUUUGGAAUAGCUCCAAGUAACGCGUGGUAGCUGCAUCUACAAGAUGACAUAGAGAUUUGUAAAGCACACACGGAUCUGAAUGUUGCAGACCCGUUGACUAAAACCUCUCUCGUAAGCAUAACAUGAUCAAACCCUAGAACUCAUUGAGUGUUAAUCACAUGGUGAUGUGAACUAGAUUAUUGACUCUAGUAAACUCUUGGGUAUUAGUCACAUGGCGAUGUGAACUUUGAGUGUUAAUCACAUGGUGAUGUGAACUAGAUUAUUGACUCUAGUGCAAGUGGGAGACUGUUGGAAAUAUGCCCUAGAGGCAAUAGUAAAAUGGUUAUUAUUGUAUUUCAUUGUUCAUGAUAAUUGUCUGUUGUUCAUGCUAUAAUUGUAUUAACUGGAAACCGUAAUACAUGUGUGAAUACAUAGACCACAACAUGUCCCUAGUAAGCCUCUAGUUGACUAGCUCGUUGAUCAAUAGAUGGUUAUGGUUUCCUGACCAUGGACAUUGGAUGUCAUUGAUAACGGGAUCACAUCAUUAGGAGAAUGAUGUGAUGGACAAGACCCAAUCCUAAGCAUAGCACAAGAUCGUGUAGUUCGUUUGCUAGAGCUUUUCUAAUGUCAAGUAUCAUUUCCUUAGACCAUGAGAUUGUGCAACUCCUAGAUACCGUAGGAAUGCUUUGGGUGUACCAAACGUCACAACGUAACUGGGUGGCUAUAAAGGUGCACUACAGGUAUCUCCGAAAGUGUCUGUUGGGUUGGCACGAAUCGAGACUGGGAUUUGUCACUCCGUAUGACGGAGAGGUAUCUCUGGGCCCACUCGGUAAUGCAUCAUCAUAAUGAGCUCAAUGUGACUAAGGAGUUAGCCACGGGAUCAUGCGUUACGGUACGAGUAAAGUGACUUGCCGGUAACAAGAUUGAACAAGUUAUUGGGAUACCGACGAUCGAAUCUCGGGCAAGUAACGUACCGAUUGACAAAGGGAAUUGUAUACGGGAUUGAUUGAAUCCUCGACAUCGUGGUUCAUACGAUGAGAUCAUCGUGGAACAUGUGGGAGCCAACAUGGGUAUCCAGAUCCCGCUGUUGGUUAUUGACGAAGAGUCGUCUCGGUCAUGUCUGCAUGUCUCCCGAACCCGUAGGGUCUACACACUUAAGGUUCGGUGACGCUAGAGUUGUAGAGAUAUUAGUAUGUAGUUAACCAAAAGUUGUUCGGAGUCCCGUGAGAUCCCGGACGUCACGAGGAGUUCUGGAAUGGUCCGGAGGCAAAGAUUUAUAUAUGGGAAGUCCUAUUUUGGCCACCGGAAAAUGUUUAGGAUUUUUUGGUAUUGUACCGGGAAGGUUCUAGAAGGUUCCGAAGUGGGGCCCACCUGCAUGGGGGGACCCACAUGUACGUGGGUAGUGGGGGCAAGGCCCCACACCCCUGGUCAAGGCGCACCAAGAUCCCACCUUAGAAGGAAUAAGAUCAUAUCCCGAAGGGAUAAGAUCAAGAUCCCUAAAAAAGGGGGAUAACAAUCGGUGGGGAAGGGAAAUGAUGGGAUUUCUUUCCCCCACCUUUGCCAACGCCCCAAUGGACUUGGAGGGCAAGAAACCAGCCCCCUCCACCCCUAUAUAUAGUGGGGAGGCGCAUGGGAGCAGCACCCCAAGCCCUGGCGCCUCCCUCCCUCCCGUGACACCUCUUCCUCCCCGCUUGCGCUUGGCGAAGCCCUGCCGGGAUCCCGCUACUUCCACCACCACGCCGUUGUGCUGCUGGAUCUCCAUCAACUUCUCCUCCCCCCUUGCUGGAUCAAGAAGGAGGAGACGUCCCCGCUCCGUACGUGUGUUGAACGCGGAGGUGUCGUCCGUUCGGCGCUAGGAUCAUCGGUGAUUUGGAUCACGACGAGUACGACUCCAUCAACCCCGUUCUCUUGAACGCUUCCGCUCGCGAUCUACAAGGGUAUGUAGAUGCACUCCUCCCCUCUCAUUGCUAGCAUCUCCUAGAUUGAUCUUGGUGACACGUAGGAAAAUUUUGAAUUUCUGCUACGUUCCCCAACAAUUUAAGUUAGAGAAUAAUUGUUGUUAUGUUUACAUGAAUAAAACCUUCUAUGGUCAUACACCCAAUGAAAAUGGUUUGUUGGAUCUCGAUCGUAGUGAUACACAUAUUCAUAAUAUUGAAGCCAAAAGAUGCAAAGUUAAUAAUGAUAGUGCAACUUAUUUGUGGCACUGCCGUAUAGGUCAUAUUGGUGUAAAGCGUAUGAAGAAACUCCAUGCUGAUGGGAUUUUGGAAUCACUUGAUUAUGAAUCACUUGAUGCUUGCGAACCAUGCCUCAUGGGCAAGAUGACUAAGACUCCGUUCUCCGGAACAAUGGAGCGAGCAACAGACUUGUUGGAAAUAAUACAUACAGAUGUAUGCAGUCCGAUGAGUGUUGAGGCUCGCGGCGAGUAUCGUUAUUUUCUGACCUUCACAGAUGAUUUGAGCAGAUAUGGGUAUAUCUACUUGAUGAAACAUAAGUCUGAAACAUUUGAAAAGUUCAAAGAAUUUCAGAGUGAAGUGUAAAAAUCAUCGUAACAAGAAAAUGAAGUUUCUACGAUCUGGUCGUGGAGAUGAAUAUUGUGUUACGAGUUUGGUCUUCAAUUAAAACAAUGUGGAAUAGUUUCACAAAUUCAUGCCACCUGGAACACAACAGUAAUGGUGUGUCCGAACAUCGUAACCAUACUUUAUUAGAUAUGGUGCAAUCUAUGAUGUCUCUUACCGAUUUACCACUAUCGUUUUGGGGUUAUGCAUUGGAGACAACUGCAUUCACGUUAAAUAGGGCACCAUCUAAAUCCGUUGAGACGACACUAUAUGAACUGUGGUUUGGCAAGAAACCAAAGUUGUCGUUUCUUAAAGUUUGGAGUUGCAAUGCUUAUGUGAAAAAGUUUCAUCCUGAUAAGCUCAAACCCAAACCGGAGAAAUGUGUCUUCAUAGGAUACCCAAAGGAGACAGUUGGGUACACCUUCUAUCACAGAUCCAAAGGCAAGACAUUCAUUGCUAAGAAUGGAUCCUUUCUAGAGAAGGAGUUUCUCUCGAAAGAAGUGAGUGGGAGGAAAGUAGAACUUGAUGAGGUAACUGUACCUGCUCCCUUAUUGGAAAGUAGUUCAUCACAGAAAUCUGUUCCUGUGACUCCUACACCAGUUAGUGAGGAAGCUAAUGAUGAUGAUCAUGUAACUUCAGAUCAAGUUACUACCAAACCUCGUAGGUAAAGCAGAGUGAGAUCUGCACCAGAGUGGUACGAUAAUCCUGUUCUGGAGGUCAUGUUACUUGACCAUGACGAACCUACGAACUAUGAGGAAGCGAUGAUGAGCCCAGAUUCCGCGAAAUGGCUUGAGGCCAUGAAAUCUGAGAUGGGAUCCAUGUAUGAGAACAAAGUGUGGACUUUGGUUGACUUGCCCGAUGAUCGGCAAGCCAUAGAAAAUAAAUGGAUCUUCAAGAGGAAGACGGACGCUGAUAGUAGUGUUACUAUCUACAAAGCUAGACUUGUCGAAAAAGGUUUUUGACAAAGUUCAAGGUGUUGACUACGAUGAGAUUUUCUCACUCGUAGCGAUGCUUAAGUCUGUCUGAAUCAUGUUAGCAAAUUGCCAUAUUUUAUGAAAUCUGGCAAAUGGAAAUCAAAACUACAUUCCUUAAUGGAUUGCUUAAAGAAGAGUUGUAUAUGAUGCAACCAAAAGGUUUUGUCGAUCUUAAAGGUGCUAACAAAAUGUGCAAGCUCCAGCGAUCCAUCUGUGGACUGGUGCAAGCAUCUCGGAGUUGGAAUAUACGCUUUGAUGAGUUGAUCAGAGCAUAUAGUUUUAUACAGACUUGCGGUGAAGUCUGUAUUUACAAGAAAGUGAGUGGGAGCACUACAUAAUUUCUGAUAAGUAUAUGCUAAUGACAUAUUAUUGAUCGGAAAUAGUGUAGAAUUUUCUGGAAAGCAUAAAGGAGUAUUUGAAAUGAGUUUUUCAAAGAAAGACCUCAAUGAAGCUGCUUACAUAUUGAGCAUCAAGAUCUAUAGAGAUAGAUCAAGACGCUUGAUAAGUUUUUUCAAUGAGUACAUACCUUGACAAGAUUUUGAAGUAGUUCAAAAUGGAACAGUCAAAGAAAUAGUUCUUGCCUAUGUUACAAGGUGUGAAAUUGAGUAAGACUCAAAGUCCGACCACGGCAGAAGAUAGAAAGAGAAUGAAAGUCAUUCCCUAUGCCUCAGCCAUAGGUUCUAUAAAGUAUGCCAUGCUGUGUACCAGAUCUAUUGUAUACCCUACACUGAGUUUGGCAAGGGAGUACAAUAGUGAUCUAGGAGUAGAUCACUGGACAGCGGUCAAAUUUAUCCUUAGUGGAAUAAGGAUAUGUUUCUCGAUUAUGGAGGUGACAAAGAGUUCAUCGUAAAGAGUUACGUCGAUGAAAGCUUUGACACCGAUCUGGAUGACUCUAAGUCUCGAUCUAGAUACAUACUGAAAGUGGGAGCAAUUAGCUAGAGUAGCUCCGUGCAGAGCAUUGUAGACAUAGAAAUUUGCAAAAUACAUACGGAUCUGAAUGUGGCAGACCCGUAGACUAAAAUUUCUCUCACAGGCAAAACAUGAUCACACCUUAGUACUCUUUGGGUGUUAAUCACAUAGCGAUGUGAACUAGAUUAUUGACUCUAGUAAACCCUUUGGGUGUUGGUCACAUGACGAUGUGAACUAUGGGUGUUAAUCACAUGGUGAUGUGAACUAUUGGUGUUAAAUCACAUGGUGAUGUGAACUAGAUUAUUGACUCUAGUGCAAGUGGGAGACUGAAGGAAAUAUGCCCUAGAGGCAAUAAUAAAGUUAUUAUUUAUUUCCUUAUAUCAUGAUAAAUGUUUAUUAUUCAUGCUAGAAUUGUAUUAACCGAAAACUUAGUACAUGUGUGAAUACAUGGACAAACAUAGUGUCACUAGUAUGCCUCUACUUGAGUAGCUUGUUAAUCGAAGAUGGUUGAGUUUCCUAGCCAUGGACAUGAGUUGUCAUUUGAUUAAUGGGAUCACAUCAUUAGGAGAAUGAUGUGAUUGACUUGACCCAUUCCGUUAGCUUAGCACUUGAUCGUUUACUAUGUAGUUAUUGCUUUCUUCAUGACUUAUACAUGUUCCUAUGACUAUGAGAUUAUGCAACUCCCGUUUACCGGAGGAACACUUUGUGUGCUACCAAACGUCACAACGUAACUGGGUGAUUAUAAAGGUGCUCUACAGGUGUCUCCGAAGGUACUUGUUGGGUUGGCGUAUUUCGAGAUUAGGAUUUGUCACUUCGAUUGUCGGAGAGGUAUCUCUGGGCCCUCUCGGUAAUGCACAUCACUAUACGCCUUGCAAGCAAUGUGACUCAUGAGUUAGGUGCGGGAUGAUGCAUUACGGAACGAGUAAAGAGACUUGCCAGUAACGAGAGUGAACUAGGUAUUGAGAUACCGACGACCGAAUUCGGGCAAGUAACAUACCGAUGACAAAGGGAACAACGUAAGUUGUUAUGCGGUUUGACCGAUAAAGAUCUUCGUAGAAUAUGUGGGAGCCAAUAUGAGCAUCCAGGUUCCGCUAUUGGUUAUUGACCGGAGAUGUGUCUCGGUCCUGUCUACAUAGUUCUCGAACCCGUAGUGUCCGCACGCUUAACGUUCGGUGACGAUUUGUAUUAUGUGUUGGGGAUCGUUGCAGAAAUUAGAAAAUUUCUACGCAUCACCAAGAUCAAUCUAUGGAGUUUACUAGCAACAAGAGGGGAGUGCAUCUUCAUACCUUUGAAGAUCGCGAGUCGGAAGCGUUGCAAGAACGCGGAUGAGGGAGUCGUACUCGUAGCGAUUCAGAUCGCGGUAGAUUCCGAUCCAAGCGCCGAACAACGGCACCUCUGCGUUCAACACACGUGCAGCCUGGUGACGUCUCCCGCACCUUGAUCCAGCAAGGAGGAGGGAGAGGUUGAGGAAGAGGGCUCCAACAGCAGCACGACGGCGUGGUGGUGAUGGAGUGGCAGUUCUCCGGCAUGGCUUCGCCAAGCUCACGCGGAGGAGGAGAGGUGUUGGGGAGGGGAGGGGCUGCGCCUUGGAUGUGGUGCUGCAGCCCUCCCUCCACCCCUCUAUUUAUAGGGAGAAGGGGGAAGGGGGCCGACCCCUCUAGAUGAGAUCUAGAGGGGGGGCGGCGGCCAAGGGGGAGGGGGCUUGCCCCCCAAGCAAGGGGGGCGCCCCCUUUAGGGUUCCCCCCAAACCCUAGGCGCAUGGGCCCUAGGGGGGUUGGCGCCCAGCCCACUUAGGGCUGGUUCCCUUCCACCUACAGCCCAUAAGGCCCUCCGGGGCAGGUGGACCCUCCCGGUGGACCCCCGGAACCCCUCCGGUGGUCCCGGUACUGCGGUUUAGUAAGUUGGUAACCUCUUUCCUUCUACACACCAAACAGAGGGGCCGGGAUGAUGGUUCCAUGGCCCUGGAUUAAACCCAGUCAUCCGGUCAGGGGGCAUGGGUGUUUCCGGUUGGGACCGAGAGGGGGGGCACUCCCUUAGAGCGCGCGUAUAGAAAUUUGAUCCCAUGCUACGCGAGGUUGUAGCCUCCCCGUCUCAAGGUUUUUCUUGAACAUUGCCGAGGGUGAUCCCUGGCUUCGGAAUGUUGAAUGGGUGUGUACUGGAUAGACGUGUUUCUUCCAAAACACCGUAAACGGAACUAGUCCCCGUGACUACAGAAAUCCGUUGGCUGUGGUUAAAGUGCAAACUCUGCAGAGUCAAAUCCUUCCAAGUCAUCGUAUCCAUGAUCAAGUAGAACGAUCAGUAUAUCCAUAUCUAUCCUCGUGGAAAUUUUAUCCCCGGUGAACAAGCUCAAGUGGUAAACCCAGUUUAAUUGUUAUUCCUGCGGAUGGACUAACCUCGUACUUGUAAUAUUUUAUAUUCUCAAGCUACUGUAUUAUCGAGCUACGGUAUAAGCCCUUUAUGUGAUGUCGCUCAGACUUCCGACUGUGGCAUGUGUGCCUUUUAUUUUUCUGUUAUAAGCCCUUUAUGUGGUGUCGCCCUGACGCCCGACUGCGGCAUUAUUAUUCUUGCAGUUUCCUCUCGAGGAGUCAUUCAGACCCUCGUUUGGCACCGGUAUUAUUAUUCUUGCAGUUUCCUCUCGAGGAGUCAUUCAGACCCUCGUUUGGCACCAGUAUUACUAUUCGUGCAGUUUCCUCUCGAGGAGUCAUUCGGACCCUCGUUUGGCACCCGUAUUUAUUUUUGGGGAUUUCGGGAGGACUACCGCCCGACUUCUCUGUUAUUUUCUCAUGCAUUAUUAUCUCUAUGUUUGAACGCACUUGUUAUUCCGUUCUUAUGCUUCAUGUUUACAUUUGUUAUAUCUUAUGUCUGAACUGUCUUGCGAGUACUUUCAUAGUACUCACCUGGCUUGUUGUUUUGGCCAGAUGUUGACGAAGGCGAUCUCUUGGAUGAAGAGUUUGAUAGUGCGUCCGACGCCUAGAGGAGUCCCAGUCAGUCCUGUGCGAUCCCGGAUAUUGGUCACUUGUAUUAUAUACUCUUCCGCCACCCGCAAUAAGUCUCCUCGAGCCUCACUCCGACGCUCGAAGAGCUGUAGUUUUCAGGAGUCUUAUCACCCACUUCGCGGUGAUAUUUCCACCAUCGUUGUUAUCGUGAGUUAGUAGUCAUGCCACCCGAUCCGUCGUUAUGUUUUAUCGGCGUUCAUGUAAUAAAUUGUUGAGCAGUCUCCGCUCAACCUUGUAUUAUAUUCAGUACUCCUGGUAUUUUUCUUCUGUGACCAAGAUAAUGUCUACCAGUGAGAAGGAAUUCUUCUCUACUGGUCCGUAAAAGGGAUUGGUCUCUCAAUAAAUAUUUUAUUGAAAAACCGGUCAUGACAAGCUUGGUAUCAGAGCCAGGCUGACUGUAGGAAGCCACUAGGUGCGAUCGCUAAUCGGGUAUUAGCAUCUUUUGUGCUUUUUCAGCUUUUUGCAAUUGUAGCUAUUUUCUGUUGGUCAUCAUAAAUUUAUGACAUGAGUACUCAGAAUUUUUGCCUACUUUUGUAGAUGGCUGGCAGCAACUGCGAGACUCGAGUGUUCACGAACGUGCCCGAGGGGUUUGUCAAACUCCUCGUCUCCAUCACCAAGCUCGCGAUCGGGCCAGCGACUCGCCCGGAGUUCACGCUUUACCAACACAAGCUCAGUGACGAAGUGUCUAUGCACCAAGCUGUGGUGCAAUUCAAGGGAGGACGUUCUGCAGCUCGCCACUUCCGUUUUGUGGGAAGGUCCAUGCCUACGGAGAGGCAUGCCAUGCAGAUGACUGCCUGUGAGGCGAUAGCUCGUCUUUGGGACAUCCUUCCUACGAUGAAGACUCGUCGCUACCGCUACCUCCCAUGCCAUGUGCCUUACACCAGUCACUAUGCAUUCGCCUGCCAUCGGGGAGAACGAGAUGAAGCCAUCGAGAUGGUUGUGGAGUAUCUCAAGGCUCUGGAGGAGUCUUUCGACAACCUCGUGGACGAUCUUGUGGCUGCCCGUAUGGACUUAGUCCGGGGCGGUCCUGCCAGCAGGAAGGAGCUUCUUCACACAGCACCGCCUCUGACAUUCGUCUCGUCUUCAACCUCUUAUGCACCGGCCGUUUUGGCCACUGCUCGCCGUCUGCCUACCACUGAGGAGUUCGACCGAGCAUCGCUCCUAUUCCAGUCAGAGCUGCACCGCCCGCCGCACCCGCACUACCACCGUUCGCCCCCGCGCCAUCACCGCAGCACAGCGUUACGCUCCAGGAACCUGUUAGAGAGGAGGUGGAGGUUGAAUCUCCUGGACCGCUGAGUCUUGCCUCGGCAAGGGGAAGGACAUCGUCACCAUCUCCGACUGAGAGCGCCGAGUAGCCGCGCGUUAUGUCUGCUUGUAUGAUGUGUUUUCUCUGUACGCUAGUUUGUAUUGGUGUGUUUGCUGCUUUCCGGAGGAGUACGCUAGUCUAAAUAAUAUGUCAGGAAUGUGUACGCGCAUCCUGAGUGCUGUAUCGUGUGUUUGCUUUUCGCGUGUAAGAUAUAAGCUAAGCAGUUCUUCUCCGUGCAAAAUCGUUUAUGUUUUCUUAAAAACCUUGAGGUCUUUUAAAUUGUUGCCUUUGCAAGAUUUUCCUUGUGCUACACAGUUCUUCUCAUGGGUUUUGCAAAAUAAUACCCCAGACUGGAAAAAUGUCUCGUCCGUGGACUCGCUCCAUGCCCAAUCAGCCAGAAGAGGUUUAUGGGACACAGACUAGCAACAACUUCACCCAGGGACAGUCCAGUCAACAAGACAGCGAAGCAGCCUUGUCUCAAGUAUGCCGUCUCUUCGAACAAAGCCAGCAACAACACCAAGAGAUGAUGAACCACGUCAUCAAUAUGGGAAACCACCGUGAACCCUAUCAACCUCAUUCCAAGUUAUCUGAGUUACAGAAGACUCGCCCUUCAACUUUUGCUCACACUGAUAAGCCGUUGGAAGCCGAUGAUUGGCUUCGUGACAUCGAAAGGAAGCUGAUUAUUGCCCAGUGUUCAGAUCAUGAGAAGGUGCUUUAUGCACCACACUACCUUACUGGAGCAGCUGCAGCAUGGUGGGAAAACUUCCUACACAUGCAUCCCAGUGAACACAACAUCACCUGGGAAGAGUUCAAGGAAGGUUUUCGUGGGGCACACAUCCCCAGGAGCAUCAUAAAAAUCAAGAAGAGAGAAUUUGACGACCUCAAGCAAAGAGGCAUGUCAGUGACAGAAUACAACGGUCAGUUCACCCAGCUAUCCCGUUAUGCCUACGACGAGCAUAUGACUAAGAGCAAGAAGAUGGAAAAAUUCCUGGAUGGUCUGGCACCAGCCCUAAGAUGCCAGCUGGUGGUACACACUUUCCCGGAUUUUAAAACUCUGAGGUUCCGAGGACAGAAGCAAGGAGAUCCACGACUACUAAUCCAAGGCCCGUCAGACAGUUUCAUACCAGAGACAAGGAGUACACGUACCUUCCAGGAGUCACCUGCUAUGCUUGUGGUGAAGAAGGGCACUAUGCUAAACAGUGCCCAAAACCAAGGAACUCGGCCCCCAAGCCGAACAAUGGUGGAAACAAUCCAGCCCCCAAGCGCAACAAUUUCAAUCCCAACAACAACCACAGGAAGGGUCACCUGAACCAUGUGACCAAGGAAGAAGCGCAGAAUGCCCUAGACAUCGUGCUCAGUACGUUCCCUGUCAACACAGUACUUGCCACGGUUUUGUUUGAUUCUGGAGCUUCCCAUUCGUUCGUUUCGAAGAGUUUUGUUUUGCAACAUGGUUUUCUGAUACUUCCCCUGGAAAAAUCUAUGAUCAUCAAAUCCCCCGGGAAUAAGCAAAUCGCUCAGAGUUACUGCCAAGGAGUAAUCAUUGAGUUCGAAAAGACUACAGUUCCAAGCAAAUCUCAUCGUGUUGGAAAAUAAAGGACUGGAUGUCAUUUUAGGGAUGGACUGGUUAACCACCAACAAAGGAUUCAUUGACUGUUUUAAUCGGACCGUGAUUCUCACUCACCCUCAUGGCAAGACAAUAAAGGUUACAGCUCAAGAAAGGCCACGGUCACGGCAACCAAAACUGAACAAAGUGGACAUUUCAGAACUGAGAAAAGUUCCAGUGGUAUGCGAGUUCCCUGAUGUAUUCCCUGAAGAACUGCCAGGCAUGCCACCAGACCGAGAGAUAGAAUUCAGCAUCGAACUAGCACCUGGCACCGCUCCCAUCUAUAAGAAACCUUAUAGAAUGGCACCCUCAGAAUUGGUGGAGUUGAAGAAACAGAUAAAGGAAUUAUUGGACAAAGGAUUUAUUCGAGCCAGCUCCUCACCAUGGGGUUCGCCAGUGUUAUUCGCCAAGAAAAAGGAUGGGACACUGAGACUGUGUAUAGACUAUCGAGCCCUCAAUAUGGUCACCAUCAAAAACAAAUAUCCGAUGCCACGGAUAAAUGAUUUGUUUGACCAUCUCGCUCAAGCCAAGGUGUUCUCAAAAAUUGAUUUGAGAUCGGGAUAUCAUCAACUGAAAGUACGGACAGAAGAUAUCCCUAAAACAGCAUUCACCUCCAGAUACGGAUUAUAUGAAUUCACAGUGAUGCCUUUUGGUCUAACAAACGCCCCCGCAUAUUUCGUCCACCUCAUGAACAAAGUGUUCAUGAAAAUCAUCGACAAAUUUGUUGUGGUGUUCAUUGACGAUAUUCUGGUUUACUCAAGGACACCGGAAGAGCAUGUUGAGCACCUCAAAAUUGUUUUGGGAGAAUUGAGGAAACAUCAGUUGUAUGCCAAAUUUAGCAAGUGUGAAUUUUGGCUAAGACAAGUUGGUUUCCUAGGCCAUAUAUUGAACCAAGAAGGCGUGGCCGUAGACCCAGAAAAAGUCAAAGCCAUACUUGACUGGAAGCCACCCGCCAACGUUACAGAUGUACGGAGUUUCCUAGGAAUGGCCGGAUAUUACAGAAGAUUUAUUGAAGGAUUCUCCACUAUGGCAAAACCAAUAACACAGUUGCUCAAGAAAGACAAGAAAUCUGUAUGGACGGAAGCGUGCGAGAAAAGCUUCCAAGAACUCAAGAAGAAAUUAACAACAGCACCGGUUUUGACCGUGCCAGAUAUACACAAGAGUUUUGAAGUAUAUUGUGACGCGUCCCGAAAAGGUCUCGGAUGUGUACUAAUGCAGGAUGGCAAAGUUGUCGCGUAUGCCUCCAGGCAGCUGCGAAAACAUGAGGAAAAUUACGCAACAUAUGACCUGGAGCUAGCAGCAGUCAUACAUGCCCUCAAGGAGUGGAGGCACUUUCUGUUGGGAAAUCGCUGUGAAAUAUAUACGGACCAUAAGAGCCUCAAAUAUAUUUUCACACAGCCAGAGCAAAAUUUACGACAAUGACGCUGGUUGGAAUUGGUCAAGGACUAUGAUGUCGGCAUUCACUACCAUCCAGGGAAAGCAAAUGUAGUGGCUGAUGCUCUUAGUCGAAACCCCAGCCCGGACAACGAUGGUCCGCGAAACUUGAGGCCUGAGUUUCAGCAAGAGUUCGCUAGGCUCAACAUGGUGUUAGUCUCUGAGGGCACCGUAUCAAAUCUGGAGAUACAACCCACCCUAGUGGAACAAAUUAAGAAGGCUCAACAGGGACAUCCCAGCAUUGAAGGUAUAAAGAAGAAAAUGAACCUUGGUAAGGCUUCAGAGUUCGUCACAGAUAGUGAAGGAAUACUAUGGUACGGAGACAGACUUUGCGUACCUAACAUUGAGGAACUCAAGCAACAAAUCUUAACCAAAAGCCACACUGCUCCAUACUCGAUCCAUCCUGGAGGAACCAAAAUGUACAAAGACAUUCAGGAAAGAUUUUGGUGGCACGUUAUGAAAAGGGAUAUAGCCGCAUUCAUUGCUUGUUGCGAUGCAUGUCAGCGCAUCAAGUCCGAGCAUCAAAAGCCAGCAGGGCUACUCCAGCCAAACAGGAUACCGGAGUGGAAAUGGGAUGAAAUAGGAAUGGACUUCAUUGUCGGAUUACCCCGAUCACAACGCGGAAAUGACGCCAUAUGGGUCAUCACAGACCGACUAACCAAGGUUGCUCAUUUCAUUCCCGUGAAGACUACCUACUCCACACAAAGACUGGCCAAACUUUAUCUCUCCCGUAUAGUUUGCUUGCAUGGAGUCCCAAAAACUAUAAUAUCCGACCGAGGCACACAAUUUGUCUCCAAUUUUCGAAUCACCUACAACAAGCUCUGGGCACGCAACUAGCUUUCAGCACAGCAUACCACCCUCAGACUGAUGGAUAGACGGAAUGUGUGAAUCAAAUCCUAGAGGAUAUGCUGAGAGCCUGUGUGCUCACCUAUGGAUCCAGUUGGGAAGAGAGUUUGCCAUAUGCCGAGUUUGCUUACAACAACAGUUACCAAGCCAGCUUGCAAAUGGCACCCUUUGAGGCAUUGUACGGGCGGAGGUGUCGUACCCUACUGAAUUGGUCAGAAGCAGGUGACAGCCGUAUCUUCGGCCCAGACAUGCUUAAAGAGGCCGAGGAGAAAGUUAAGCAGAUCAGGGACAGACUCAAGACAGCGCAGAGCCGACAAAAGAGCUACUACGAUCAAAAGCAUCGUGAAGUCAGCUUUGAACCCGGUGAUUCCGUAUACCUACGAGUGUCUCCUAUGAGGGGCACGCAACGGUUCAAAAUUAAGGGGAAGCUAGCCCCGAGAUUUAUUGGACCAUUCCGUAUAGUCGCACGAAGAGGCACAGUAGCCUACAAACUAGACCUACCCAAGGAGCUGUCAGACAUCCAUGACGUGUUCCACGUCUCUCAACUGAGAAAGUGUGUAAGAAACCCGGAGAAGCAUGUACCUCAUGAAAGCAUUGAUGAUGCAACCAGACCUCACCUACAGAGAGAGGCCAGUAAAGAUUUUGGAAGAGUCUGAAAGGAGGACCCGUCAGAAAACAACAAAAAAUAUCAGGGUUCAGUGGAGCAACCACACUGAGGAUGAAGCUACAUGGGAAAGGGAAGAUUUCCUUCAGGCAGAAUACCCAUACCUAUUCGAGGAUCAGCGGAAAUCUCGAGGACGAGAUUUUUCCUAAGGGGGUAGGUGUUGUGACACCCAAAAUUUUUAAUUGGAUUUUUCAAACUUUUAAUUUUUAUUUGAGGAGGGUAUUUAAAUUUUCUUCUAAAGAACCACCCUCUCAAAAAAAAAUUCUUUUAUGGCAAGUGUUCUAUUUGGAUUCACCCAAGACUUGAUUUUGGUCUUGGAGGUUUUUCCUUUUAUUUGGACUGAAACCAAAAUGUUUUUUUUUCUCUUGGAAAAAUGCCUUUUGAAAAUUUCUUUGAAAAAGACCCUAUAGCUUUUGGAUUGAUCCUUGGCCACUUUCAAAAAUUCCUCUUGCCAUGACCCAAGGGUAAAUCCCCUCCCUUAAACCUUCCCUCAUCUUUGGAUCAUGUGUUGCAUCAAAUCCAGCAAGUUGAACCUCCCCAUAUGACUAUUUUCCAUUUAAAUCUUAUCAAAACAAUUUCUGUCCUCUAUUCUAGCCCUUGGAGAUUUACAAAGGAACUACCCUUUCUGUUUUGAUUUUUGCCCCCAAACCAUUUUCCCUUCCUAGUCCUUUGAACCCUCAACCAAGAUCCAUGAAGAUCCACUAGUCUUCACUUCAAAUUUUUGAAACUACACUUGCUGCAAGUUUGGACCAGAUUUGUCAAAUUUGGUGAAAUUCAUUCAAAUCUUUCUCCAAAAAUUCUGAGUAAAGUCAGGCAGCCCCUGGGUGCAUUGAGUGGUCACCUCACCAAGUCCCAGCCCCAGGAAAAAUUUUCUCCUUGCCAAAUCAUUCUGUCGAACACCUACUGGACACAGUUACUGUCAUUGUUCAGUUAAGUUCGGAAAACAGUUUCAGUGCACUGUUGUUUUCUUCAGUGUUCGAUCUCAAUCUCGCCAGUGUCGCUGUAUCGCCUUGCUCCCCGUCCUCUCCCCCUUGUUCCUGCGCCGCACGAUCCCCUGGAGCCUGGCGGACGUCGGCGACGAGCAGGAGGAGGUGCGCCGCCCCGUGACCGACGCCAACGGCGGCUUUGCGGCCGCCAGAGAGAGGCGCGGCGCAGACGGCGCCACCCAGCGCCGCCCAAGCCACCGGAGCUCACCGCAUGGCCUUCCACUCCCCAGAACGCGCUGCCACUCUCGUCGUGAACCGCAGGGCGCGGAGCGCGCUCUCUGCAGCCGUCGUGCCCGUGCGGCCACCCCACCGUGGACCGGCGCCAUUACGCCAAGACCAACCCAGUUUAGCAGUGGAACGGCACCAGUAAACCUCCCUGAUGCUGCCCGGCCACCUAAACCCCCUGCCAAUCCACGACAUCGCCGUAAUUGCUCGCCGGAGAUUCUCCGUUCACGGCCACCCCCUCGAUCCGCCUAUAAAUAGAGGCCCCGAGCUUCAACUCGAACUCACACCACCUCUGCACUCCACCAAAACCCUGCCUAGCCACUGGGAGAGCCCCAAGGAGGUCUCCUUCCUCAACUCCGGCCGCCGUGACCCGCCACGGGAUCCAGCUCGAUUCGCUCCCGUGCGUGCACCUCUGCCUCCCAUCUCUUGCCAGUAGCUCUCUAGUGCAUCCCUCUUUCUGACCCGCGCUUCAAUUCGAGGUUUGCAGCACUCACCGGAGUUCUCUACCAUCACCCGAGCCGCCGUCCGCCGGAGAAAGUGUCGCCGUCGACGUGGUGCUCUCCGUCGGUCGAGUCCACCACCCACCGACGCGGAAGGACACGCUGAAGCUCUUGGUACACUCCGAUCUCCCUGUCUCGCCGUGGUUCGACGCCGGCGACCUCCGCAGCCUUCGGGCGCCGGCGAGGUUUUUAAACCUGACAUGUGGGACCCCCUGUCAGCCUCUCUUCUGUUUCCCCUCGCGAAACCUUUUCUGUUGGCGCCUUCGGGCAAAAUAUGUUUUCCCUUUUGAGCUGGCGCGUUUCUUUCCGAAGCGUUUUCUGUUUUCUCAGUUUAAACCCUGGAACUUUUCUGUUUCAUUACAGAUGAGUCCCUGGACAGAAACCUUUAUAACUUUUUAAUAAAAAGUGAUUUUUGAGUGAUUCUUUUUCUAACAGUCUUAAAAUUUUGUCUAGUUUUUUAUGGGAUUUAUUUGGAAAAAAUUUGGAGAAGUUUUUAUGCACGCGUUGGUUUUCACGUUAGUACCCGUUUUCGUAUGCCGUAGGUUCCGGAAGAGGUGACGGAGCCGCGAACUUCGCCGAGCUAGACUCCGACUUCUCUGAACCAGGCAAGCAUGUUUGAACCUUUGAUAUGAUAUGUGUUUGCGUAUAAGUUUGUGCGUGGCAUAUGAGUGUCGGUAAGUACCUCGUUGCUUGUGAGGCAACUACCCGCAUGUUCCAAAGUUGCGAUGAUCUCUGGUGAGAGAUGGCCUAAUCAUGUGGUGACAUGAAGGGCAGCAAGUUGUAGUUUUCAGGAGUCUUAUCACCCACUUCGCGGUGAUAUUUCCACCAUCGUUGUUAUCGUGAGUUAGUAGUCAUGCCACCCUAUCCGCCGUUAUGUUAUAUCGGCGUUCAUGUAAUAAAUUGUUGAGCAGUCUCCGCUCAACCUUGUAUUAUAUUCAGUACUCCUGGUAUUUUUCUUCUGUGACCAGGAUAAUGUCUACCAGUGAGAAGGAAUUCUUCUCUACUGGUCCGUAAAAGGGAUUGGUCUCUCAAUAAAUAUUUUAUUGAAAAACCGGUCGUGACAGACAUGUUGAGUAUGUGUUCGCUGACGGAACUAUUCUCCUCCAUCUUACAACUGUAGAACUUGUCGGAGACUUCAUAUCUCUCAACCCGGGCAUGAGCUUGGAAAACCAUUUUCAGCUCUUGGAACAUCUCAUAUGCUCCGUGCUGCUCGAAUCGCUUUUGGAGCUCCGAUUCUAAGCUGUAAAGCAUGCCGCACUGAACCAGGGAGUAAUCAUCAACACGUAUUUGCCAAGCAUUCAUAAUGUCUUGGUUUGCUGAGACGGGUGCUUCACCUAGCGGUGCUUCAAGGACAUAUGCUUUCCUGGCAGCUAUGAGGAUGAUCCUCAAGUUCCGGACCCAGUCCGUAUAGCUGCUACCAUCGUCUUUCAGCUUGGUUUUCUCUAGGAACGCGUUGAAGUUGAGGUUGACAUUAGCGUGGGCCAUUUGAUCUACAAGACAUAUUGCAAAGAUUUUAGACUAAGUUCAUGAUAAUUAAGUUCAUCCAAUCAAAUUAUUAAUGAACUCCCACUCAGACAGACAUCCCUCUAGUCAUCCAAGUGAGACAUGAUCCGAGUCAACUAGGCCGUGUCCGAUCAUCACGUGAGACGGACUAGUCAUCAUCGGUGAACAUCUUCAUGUUGAUCGUAUCUUCUAUACGACUCAUGUUCGACCUUUCGGUCUUCCGUGUUCCGAGGCCAUGUCUGUACAUUCUAGGCUCGUCAAGUCAACCUAAGUGUAUUGCGUGUGUAAAUCUGGCUUACACCCAUUGUAUGCGAACGUUAGGACUUAUGACACCCGAUCAUCAUGUGGUGCUUCGGAACAACGGACUUUAGCAACGGUGCACAGUUAGGGGGAACACAAUUCUUGAAAUUUUAGCGAGGGAUCAUCUUAUUUAGGCUACCGUCGUUCUAAGCAAAUAAGAUGUAAAACAUGAUAAACAUCACAUGCAAUCAAAUAGUGACAUGAUAUGGCCAAUAUCAUUUUGCUCCUUUUGAUCUCCAUCUUCGGGGCGCCAUGAUCAUCAUCGUCACCGGCAUGACACCAUGAUCUCCAUCAUCGUGUCUUCAUGAAGUUGUCUCGCCAACUAUUACUUCUACUACUAACGGUUAGCAAUAAAGUAAAGUAAUUACAUGAUGUUUCAGUUGACACGCAGGUCAUAAAUAAAUUAAGACAACUCCUAUGGCUCCUUCCGGUUGUCAUACUCAUCGACAUGCAAGUCGUGAUUCCUAUUACAAGAACAUGAUCAAUCUCAUACAUCACAUAUAUCAUUCAUCACAUUCUUCUGGCCAUAUCACAUCACAUGACACAUGCUGCAAAAACAAGUUAGACGUCCUCUAAUUGUUGCUGCAAAUUUUUUACGUGGCUGCUAUAGGUUUCUAGCAAGAACGUUUCUUACCUACGCCAAAACCACAACGUGAUAUGCCAAUUUCUAUUUACCCUUCAUAAGGACCCUUUUCAUCGAAUCCGAUCCGACUAAAGUGGAAAAGACAGACACCCGCUAGCCACCUUAUGCAACUAGUGCAUGUCAGUCGGUGGAACCUGUCUCACAUAAGCGUACGUGUAAGGUCGGUCCGGGCCGCUUCAUCCCACGAUGCCGCCGAAUCAAGAUAAGACUAGUAACGGCAAGUAAAUUUACAAAAUCGACGCCCACAACAACUUGUGUUCUACUCGUGCAUAGCAACUACGCAUAGACCUAGCUCAUGAUGCCACUGUUGGGGAUCGUUGCAAAAAUUAAAAAAUUUCUACGCAUCACCAAGAUCAAUCUAUGGAGUUUACUAGCAACGAGAGGGGAGUGCAUCUUUAUACCUUUGAAGAUCGCGAGUCGGAAGCGUUGCAAGAACGCGGAUGAGGGAGUCGUACUCGUAGCGAUUCAGAUCGGGUAGAUUCCGAUCCAAGCGCCGAACAACGGCACCUCCGCUUCAAGACAUGUGCAGCCCGGUGACGUCUCCCGCACCUUGAUCCAGCAAGGAGGAGGGAGAGGUUGAGGAAGAGGGCUCCAACAGCAGCACGACGGUGUGGUGGUGAUGGAGUGGCAGUUCUCCGGCAGGGCUUCGCCAAGCUCACGCGAAGGAGGAGAGGUGUUGGGGAGGGGAGGGGCUGCGCCUUGGAUGUGGUGCUGCAGCCCUCCCUCCACCCCUCUAUUUAUAGGGAGAAGGGGGAAGGGGUCCGGCCCUUCUAGAUGAGAUCUAGAGGGGGGGCGGCACAGGGGGAGGGGGCUUGCCCCCCAAGCAAGGGGGCGCCCCUUUAGGGUUCCCCCCAAACCCUAGGCGCAUGGGCCCUAAGGGGGGUUGGCGCCCAUCCCACUUAGGGCCGGUUCCCUUCCACCUAUAGCCCAUAAGGCCCUCCGGGGCAGGUGGACCCUCCCAUUGGACCCCCGGAACCCCUCCGGUGGUCCCGGUACAAUACCGGCAUACCCCGAACACUUCCGGUGACCGUAUGAUGACUUCCCAUAUAUAAAUCUUCACCUCCGGACCAUUCCGGAACUCCUCGUGACGUCCGGGAUCUCAUCCGGGACUCCGAACAACAUUCGGUAAUCACAUACAAAUCUUCCUUUUAACCCUAGCGUCAUCGAACCUUAAGUGUGUAGACCCUACGGGUUCGGGAAUCAUGCAGACAUGACCGAGACCGCUCUCUAGCAAAUAACCAACAGCGGGAUCUGGAUACCCAUGUUGGCUCCCACACGUUCCAUGAUGAUCUCAUCGGAUGAACCACGAUGUCGAGGAUUCAAGCAAUCCCGUAUACAAUUCCCUUUGUCAAUCGGUACGUUACUUGCCCGAGAUUCGAUCGUCGGUAUCCCAAUACCUCGUUCAAUCUCGUUACCGGCAAGUCACUUUACUCGUUCCGUAAUGCAUGAUCCCGUGACUGACUACUUAGUCACAUAUUGAGCUCAUCAUGACGAUGCAUUACUGAGUGGGCCCAGAGAUACCUCUCCGUCAUACGGAGUGACAAAUCCCAGUCUCGAUCCAUGCCAACCCAACAGACACUUUCGGAGAUACCUGUAGUGCACCUUUAUAGUCACUCAGUUACAUUGUGACGUUUGGUACACCCAAAGCAUUCCUACGGUAUCCGGGAGUUGCACGAUCUCAUGGUCUAAGGAAAUGAUACUUGACAUUAGAAAAGCUUUAGCAAACGAACUACACGAUCUAGGGCUAUGCUUAGGAUUGGGUCUUGUCCAUCACAUCAUUCUCCUAAUGAUGUGAUCCCGUUAUCAAUGACAUCCAAUGUCCAUGGUCAGGAAACCGUAACCAUCUAUUGAUCAACGAGCUAGUCAACUAGAGGCUCACUAGGGACAUGUUAUGGUCUAUGUGUUCACACAUGUAUUACGAUUUCCGGAUAACACAAUUAUAGCAUGAAUAAUAGACAAUUAUCAUGAACAAGGAAAUAUAAUAAUAACCAUUUUAUUAUUGCCUCUAGGGCAUAUUUCCAACAUUAUGAGUUUAUGUGAUUUGAUGUACUGAAGGUAAUUCGGAGUCCCGGAUUAGAUCGGGGACAUGACGAGCAGUCUCGUAAUGGUCGAGACGUAAAGAUCGAUAUAUUGGACGACUAUAUUCAGACAUCGGAAAGGUUCCGAGUGGUUCGGGUAUUUUUCGGAGUACCAGAAAGUUACGGGAAUACGGGGAAGAAGUAUAUGGGCCUUAUUGGGCUUUAGGGGAGAGAGAGAGGCAGGCCGCGUGCCCCCCCAAUGACUAGUCCGAAUUGGACUAGGGGGAGGGGCGGCGCCCCCUCCUUCCUUCUCUUCCCUCUUCCCCUUCCUUGUCUCCUAUCCUACUACUUGGAAGGGGAGGAAUCCUACUCUCGGUGGGAGUAGGACUCCUCCAGGGCGCGCCAUAGGGGCCGGCCCUCUCCCCCUCCUCCACUCCUUUAUAUACGUGGCCAGGGGGCAUCCCAUAGACACAACAAUUGAUCAUUGAUCUUUUAGCCAUGUGCGGUGCCCCCCUCCACCAUAAUCCACCUCGGUCAUAUCGUAGCGGUGCUUAGGCGAAGCCCUGUGUUGGUAACAUCAUCAUCACCAUCAUCACGUCGUCGUGCUGACGGAACUCUCCCGCAAAGCUCUGCUGGAUCGGAGUUCAUGGGACGUCAUCGAGCUGAACGUGUGCAGAACUCGGAGGUGCCGUGCGUUCGGUACUUGGAUCGGUCGGAUCGUGAAGACGUACGACUACAUCAACCGCGUUGUCAUAACGCUUCCGCUUUUCGGUCUACAAGGGUACGUGGACAUACUCUUCCCUCUCGUUGCUAUGCAUCACCAUGAUCCUGCGUGUGCGUAGGAAUUUUUUUGAAAUUGCUACGUUCCCCAACAGUCACGUCCCGGAGACAUGAACCCAUAUUAUGUUCUCUUGUGUCGCGGCCCAAGCACAUUGUGAAGGAAAUAUGACCUAGAGGCAAUAAUAAAUUUGUUAUUUAUAUUUCCUUAUAUCAUAAUAAAUGUUUAUUAUUCAUGCUAGAAUUGUAUUACCCCUCCGGUACUCCGGUAAAAUCCCGAUUUCACCCGGAACACUUCCGAUAUCCAAAUAUAGUCUUCCAAUAUAUCAAUCUCCAUGUCUCGACCAUUUCGAGACUCCUCGUCAUGUCCGUGAUCACAUCCGGGACUCCGAACAACCUUCGGUACAUCAAAACAUAUAAACUCAUAAUAUAACUGCCAUCGAAACUUUAAGCGUGCGGACCCUACGGGUUCGAGAACUAUGUAGACAUGACCAAGACACGUCUCCGGUCAAUAACCAAUAGCGGAACCUGGAUGCUCAUAUUGGCUCCCACGUAUUCUACGAAGAUCUUUAUCAGUCAGAACGCAUAACAACAUACGUUGUUCCCUUUGUCAUCGGUAUGUUACUUGCCCGAGAUUCGAUCAUCGGUAUCUCAAUACCUAGUUCAGUCUCGUUACUAGCAAGUCUCUUUAGUCGUUCCGUAAUACACCAUCCUGCAACUAACUCAUUAGUUGCAAUGCUUGCAGGGCUUAAGUGAUGUGCAUUACCGAGAGGGCCCAGAGAUACCUCUCCGACAAUCGGGGUGACAAAUCCUAAUCUCGAAAUACGCCAACCCAACAAGUACCUUCGGAGACACCUAUAGAGCACCUUUAUAAUCACCCAGUUAUGUUGUGACGUUUGGUAGCACACAACGUGUUCCUCCGGUAAACGGGAGUUGCAUAAUCUCAUAGUCAUAGGACAUUGUAUAAGUCAUGAAGAAAGAUAUAGCAACAUACUAAACGAUCGAGUGCUAAGCUAACGGAUGUUGGAAAUAUGCCCUAGAGGCAAUAAUAAAAGGUUAUUAUUAUAUUUCUUUGUUCAUGAUAAUUGUCUAUUGUUCAUGCUAUAAUUGUGUUAUCCGGAAAUCGUAAUACAUGUGUGAAUACAUAGACCACAACGUGUCCCUAGUAAGACUCUAGUUGACUAGCUCGUUGCUCAACAGAUAGUCAUGGUUUCCUGACUAUGGACAUUGGAUGUCAUUGAUAACGGGAUCACAUCAUUAGGAGAAUGAUGUGAUGGACAAGACCCAAUCCUAAGCAUAGCUCAAAGAUCGUGUAGUUCGUUUGCUAGAGCUUUUCCAAUGUCAAGUAUCUUCUCCUUAGACCAUGAGAUCGUGCAACUCCCGGAUACCGUAGGAGUACUUUGGGUGUGCCAAACGUCACAACGUAACUGGGUGACUAUAAAGGUACACUACGGGUAUCUCCGAAAGUGUCUGUUGGGUUGGCACGGAUCGAGACUGGGAUUUGUCACUCCGUAUGACGGAGAGGUAUCUCUGGGCCCACUCGGUAAUGCAUCAUCAUAAUGAGCUCAAUGUGACUAAGGAGUUAGUCACGGGAUCAUGCAUUACGGUACGAGUAAAGAGACUUGCUGGUAAUGAGAUUGAACAAGGUAUUGGGAUACCGACGAUCGAAUCUCGGGCAAGUAACAUACCGAUUGACAAAGGGAAUUGUAUACGGGAUUGAUUGAAUCCUCGACAUCGUGGUUCAUCUGAUGAGAUCAUCGUGGAACAUGUGGGAGCCAACAUGGGUAUCCAGAUCCCGCUGUUGGUUAUUGACCGGAGAGGCGUCUCGGUCAUGUCUGCAUGUCUCCCGAACCCGUAGGGUCUACACACUUAAGGUUCGGUGACGCUAGGGUUGUAGAGAUAUGAGUAUGCGGAAACCCAAAAGUUGUUCGGAGUCCAGGAUGAGAUCCCGGACGUCACGAGGAGUUCCGGGAUGGUCCAGAGGUGAAGAAUUAUAUAUAGGAAGUCAAGUUUCGGCCACCGGGAAAGUUUCGGGGAUCACCGGUAUUGUACCGGGACCACCGGAAGGGUCCCGGGGGUCCACCGGGUGGGGCCACCUAUCCCGGAGGGCCCCAUGGGCUGAAGUGGGAAGGGAACCAGCCCUUAGUUGGCUUGGGCGCCCCCCAUGGGCCUCCCCCCUGCGCCUAGGGUUGGAAACCCUAGGGUGGGGGGGCGCCCCACUUGCCUUGGGGGGCAAGUCUCCCCCCUGGCCGCCGCCCCCCCAUGCAGAUGGGUUCCAGGCAGGCGCCCCCCCUCCCAGGGGGCCUAUAUAAAGGGGGGAGGGAGGUCAGCACUACGACAGCCUUUGGCGCCUCCGUCCUCCCCUGCAACACCUCUCCCUCUCGCAGAAGCUCGGCGAAGCCCUGCCGAGAUCCCGCUACAUCCACCACCACGCCGUCGUGCUGCUGGAUUUCACAACUCACGCCGCCUGGAACACCUCAGCGAAACGGUGUGUCCGAACAUCAUAAUCGCACUCUAUUGGAUAUGGUGCGAUCUAUGAUGUCUCUUACCGAUUUACCGCUCUCAUUUUGGGGCUAUGCUUUAGAGACUGCUGCAUUCACUUUAAAUAGGGCUCCGUCGAAAUCCGUUGAGACGACACCGUAUGAAUUAUGGUUUGGGAAGAAACCUAAGCUGUCGUUUCUAAAAGUUUGGGGAUGCGAUGCUUAUGUCAAGAAACUUCAACCUGAAAAGCUCGAACCCAAGUCGGAGAAAUGCGUCUUCAUAGGAUACCCUAAGGAAACUAUUGGGUAUACCUUCUACCUCAGAUCCGAAGGCAAGAUCUUUGUUGCCAAGAAUGGGUCCUUUCUGGAGAAAGAGUUUCUCUCGAAAAAAUUAAGUGGGAGGAAAGUGGAACUUGAUGAGGUGAUAGUCACCCCUUCCGAACUGGAAAGUAGCGCAGUGCGGGAAGAUGUUCCUGUGGUGCCUACACCGACUGGGGAGGAAGUUAAUGAUGAUGAUCAUGAAGCUUCGGAUCAAGUUACUGCUGAACUUCGUAGGUCCACAAGGACACGUUCCGCACCAGAGUGGUACGGCAACCCUGUCCUGGAAAUCAUGUUGUUAGACAACGGUGAACCUUCGAACUAUGAAGAAGCGAUGGCGGGCCUGGAUUCCGACAAAUGGCUAGAAGCCAUGAAAUCCGAGAUAGGAUCCAUGUAUGGAAACUAAGUAUGGACUUUGACUGACUUGCCCGAUGAUCGGUGAGCCAUAGAAAAUAAAUGGAUCUUUAAGAAGAAGAUAGACGCGGAUGGUAAUGUGACCAUCUAUAAGGCUCGACUUGUCGCUAAGGGUUAUCGACAAGUUCAAGGGGUUGACUACGAUGAGACUUUCUCACCCGUAGCGAAGCUGAAGUCCGUCCGAAUCAUGUUAGCAAUUGCCGCAUACUAUGAUUAUGAGAUAUGGCAGAUGGACGUCAAAACGGCAUUCCUUAACGGCUUCCUUAAGGAAGAAUUGUAUAUGAUGCAGCCGGAAGGUUUUGUCGAUCCUAAGAAUGCUAACAAAGUAUGCAAGCUCCAGCGCUCAAUCUAUGGGCUGGUGCAAGCAUCUCAGAGUUGGAACAUUCGCUUUGAUGAGAUGAUCAAAGCGUUUGGGUUUACACAGACUUAUGGAGAAGCCUGUGUUUACAAGAAAUUGAGUGGGAGCUCUGUAGCAUUUCUCUUAUUGUACGUGGAUGACAUACUAUUGAUGGGAAAUGAUAUAGAAUUCUUGGAAAGUAUAAAGGCCUAUUUGAAUAAGUGUUUUUCAAUGAAGGACCUUGGAGAAGCUGCUUACAUAUUAGGCAUCAAGAUCUAUAGAGAUAGAUCGAGACGCCUCAUAGGUCUUUCACAAAGCACAUACCUUGACAAGAUAUUGAAGAAGUUCAAUAUGGAUCAGUCCAAGAAGGGGCUCUUGCCUGUAUUGCAAGGUGUGCAAUUGAGCACGGCUCAAUGUCCGACCACGGCAGAAGAUAGAGAAAAGAUGAGUGUCAUCCCCUAUGCCUCGGCCAUAGGGUCUAUUAUGUAUGCCAUGCUGUGUACCAGACCUGAUGUAAACCAUGCCGUAAGUUUGGUAGGAAGGUACCAAAGUAAUCCCGGCAUGGAACAGUGGACAGCGGUCGAGAAUAUCCUGAAGUACCUGAAGAGGACUAAGGAUAUGUUUCUCGUUUAUGGAGGUGAUGAAGAGCUCGUCGUAAAGGGUUACGUCGACGCUAGCUUCGACACAGAUCUGGAUGACUCGAAGUCACAAACCGGAUACGUGUAUAUUUUGAAUGGAGGAGCAGUAAGCUGGUGCAGUUGCAAGCAAAGCGUCGUGGCGGGAUCUACAUGUGAAGCGGAGUACAUGGCAGCCUCGGAGGCACCACAGGAAGCAGUCUGGAUGAAGGAGUUCAUUACCGACCUAGGGGUGAUUCCCAAUGUGUCGGGCCCGAUGACUCUCUUCUGUGACAACACUGGAGCUAUUGCCCUUGCGAAGGAGCCCAGGUUUCACAGGAAGACCAGGCAUAUCAAGCGUCGCUUCAACUCCAUUCGUGAAAGUGUUCAAAAUGGAGGCAUAGAUAUUUGUAAAGUACAUACGGACCUGAAUGUAGCAGAUCCGUUGACUAAACCUCUCCCUAGAGCAAAACAUGAUCAACACCAGGACGCAAUGGGUGCUUGAUUCAUCACAAUGUAACUAGAUUAUUGACUCUAGUGCAAGUGGGAGACUGUUGGAAAUAUGCCCUAGAGGCAAUAAUAAAUGGUUAUUAUUAUAUUUCUUUGUUCAUGAUAAUUGUCUAUUGUUCAUGCUACAAUUGUGUUAUCCGGAAAUCGUAAUACAUGUGUGAAUACAUAGACCACAACGUGUCCCUAGUAAGACUCUAGUUGACUAGCUCGUUGAUCAACAGAUAGUCAUGGUUUCCUGACUAUGGACAUUGGAUGUCAUUGAUAACGGGAUCACAUCAUUAGGAGAAUGAUGUGAUGGACAAGACCCAAUCCUAAGCAUAGCUCAAAGAUCGUGUAGUUCGUUUGCUAGAGCUUUUCCAAUGUCAAGUAUCUUCUCCUUAGACCAUGAGAUUGUGCAACUCCCGGAUACCGUAGGAGUACUUUGGGUGUGCCAAACGUCACAACGUAACUGGGUGACUAUAAAGGUACACUAUGGGUAUCUCCGAAAGUGUCUGUUGGGUUGGCACGGAUCGAGACUGGGAUUUGUCACUCCGUAUGACGGAGAGGUAUCUCUGGGCCCACUAGGUAAUGCAUCAUCAUAAUGAGCUCAAUGUGACUAAGGAGUUAGUCACGGGAUCAUGCAUUACAGUACGAGUAAAGAGACUUGCCGGUAACGAGAUUGAACAAGGUAUUGGGAUACCGACGAUCGAAUCUCGGGCAAGUAACGUACCGAUUGACAAAGGGAAUUGUAUACGAGAUUGAUUGAAUCCUCAACAUCGUGGUUCAUCCGAUGAGAUCAUCGUGGAACAUGUGGGAGCCAACAUGGGUAUCCAGAUCCCGCUGUUGGUUAUUGACCGGAGAGGCGUCUCGGUCAUGUCUGCAUGUCUCCCGAACCCGUAGGGUCUACACACUUAAGGUUCGGUGACGCUAGAGUUGUAGAGAUAUGAGUAUCCGGAAACCCGAAAGUUGUUCGGAGUCCCGGAUGAGAUCCCGGACGUCACGAGGAGUUCCGGAAUGGUCCGGAGGUGAAGAAUUAUAUAUAGGAAGUCAAGUUUCGGCCACCGGGAAUGUUUCGGGGGUCACCGGUAUUGUACCGGGGCCACCGGAAGGGUCUCGGGGGUCCACCGGGUGGGGCCACCUAUCCCGGAGGGCCCCAUGGGCUGAAGUGGGAAGGGAACCAGCCCUUAGUGGGCUGGGGCGCCCCCCAUGGGCCUCCCCCCUGCGCCUAGGGUUGGAAACCCUAUGGUGGGGGGGCGCCCCACUUGCCUUGGGGGGCAAGUCUCCCCGCCGCCCCCCCAUGAAGAUGGGUUCCAGGCUGGCGCCCCCCUCCCAGGGGGCCUAUAUAAAGGGGGGGAGGGAGGGCAGCACUACUACAUCCUUUGGCGCCUCCCUCCUCCCCUGCAACACCUCUCCCUCUCGCAGAAGCUCGGCGAAGCCCUGCCGAGAUCCCGCUACAUCCACCACCACGCCGUCGUGCUGCUGGAUCUCCAUCAACCUCUCCUUCCCCCUUGCUGGAUCAAGAAGGAGGAGAACGUCGCUGCUCCGUACGUGUGUUGAACGCGGAGGUGCCGUCCGUUCGGCACUCGGUCAUCGGUGAUUUGGAUCACGGCGAGUACGACUCCAUCAACCUCGUUCAUUGGAACGCUUCCGCUCGCGAUCUACAAGGGUAUGUAGAUGCACUCCUUACCCCUCGUUGCUAGUAUACUCCACAGAUGGAUCUUGGUGAUGCGUAGGAAAUUUUAAAAUUCUGCUACGAUCCCCAACAGUGGCAUCAUGAGCCAGGCCUAUGCGUAGUUACUAUGCACGAGUAGAACACAAAGCAGCUGUGGGCGUAGAUGUUGCCAAUUCUUCUUGCCGCCACUAGUCUUAUCUUGUUUCGGCGGCAUUGUGGGAUGAAGCGGCCCGGACCGACCUUACACGUACGCUUACGUGAGACAGGUUCCACCGACUGACAUGCACUAGUUGCAUAAGGUGGCUAGCGGGUGUCUGUCUCUCCCACUUUAGUCGGAACGGAUUCGAUGAAAAGGGUCCUUAUGAAGGGUAAAUAGAAAUUGGCAUAUCACGUUGUGGUUUUACGUAGGUAAGAAACGUUCUUCCUAGAAACCUAUACAAGCCACGUAAAAACUUGCAACAACAAUUAGAGGACGUCUAACUUGUUUUUGCAGCAUGUGCUAUGUGAUAUGAUAUGGCCAGAAGAUGUGAUGAAUGAUAUAUGUGAUGUAUGAGAUUGAUCAUAUUCUUGUAAUAGGAAUCACGACUUGCAUGUCGAUGAGUAUGAAAACCGGCAGGAGCCAUAGGAGUUGUCUUUAUUAUUUUGUAUGACCUGCGUGUCAUUGAAUAACGCCAUGUAAAUUACUUUACUUUAUUGCUAAACGCGUUAGCCAUGUAAGUAGAAGUAAUCGUUGGCGUGACCUAGCAUGUACAGACAUGGCCUCGGAACACACGCAAUACACUUAGGUUGACUUGACGAGCCUAGCAUGUACAGACAUGGCCUCGGAACACGGAGGACCGAAAGGUCGAGCAUGAGUCGUAUAGAAGAUACGAUCAACAUGGAGAUGUUCACAGAUCUUGACUAGUCCGUCUCACGUGAUGAUCGGACACGGCCUAGUUAACUCGGAUCAUGUUUCACUUAGAUGACUAGAGGGAUGUCUAUCUGAGUGGGAGUUCAUUCAGUAAUUUGAUUAGAUGAACUUAAUUAUCAUGAACUUAGUCUAAAAUCUUUACAAUAUGUCUUAUAGAUCAAAUGGCCCACGUUGUCCUCAACUUCAACGCGUUCCUAGAGAAAACCAAGCUGAAAGAUGAUGGCAGCAACUAUACGGACUGGGUCCGGAACCUGAGGAUCAUCCUCAUAGCUUCCAAGAAAGAUUAUGUCCUAGAAGCACCGCUAGGUGAAGCACCAAUCCCAGAGAACCAAGACGUUAUGAACGCUUGGCAAUCACGUGCUGAUGAUUACUCCCUCGUUCAGUGCGGCAUGCUUUACAGCUUAGAACCGGGGCUCCAAAAGCGUUUUGAGAAGCAUGGAGCAUAUGAGAUGUUCGAAGAGCUGAAAAUGGUUUUCCAAGCUCAUGCCCGGGUCGAGAGAUAUGAAGUCUCCGACAAGUUCUUCAACUGUAAAAUGGAGGAGAAUAGUUCUGUAAGUGAGCACAUACUCAGAAUGUCUGGGUUGCACAACCGCUUGUCUCAGCUGGGAGUGAAUCUCCCGGAUGACGCGGUCAUUGACAGAAUCCUUUAGUCGCUUCCACCAAGCUACAAGAGCUUUGUGAUGAACUUCAAUAUGCAGGGGAUGGAAAAGACCAUUCCUGAGGUAUAUUCGAUGCUGAAAUCAGCGGAGGUGGAGAUCAGAAAAGAACAUCAAGUGUUGAUGGUGAAUAAAACCACUAAGUUCAAGAAGGGCAAGGGUAAGAAGAACUUCAAGAAGGACGGCAAGGGAGUUGCCGCGCCCGGUAAGCCAGUUACUGGGAAGAAGCCAAGGAAUGGACCCAAGCCUGAGACUGAGUGCUUUUAUUGCAACGGAAGUGGUCACUGGAAGCGGAACUGCCCCAAAUACUUAGCGGACAAGAAGGCCGGCAACACCAAAGGUAUAUGUGAUAUACAUGUAAUUGAUGUGUACCUUACCAGUACUCGUAGUAGCUCCUGGGUAUUUGAUACCGGUGCGGUUGCUCAUAUUUGUAACUCAAAACAGGAACUAUGGAAUAAACGGAGACUGGCGAAGGACGAGGUGACGAUGCGCGUCGGGAAUGGUUCCAAGGUCGAUGUGAUCGCCGUCGGCACGCUACCUCUGCAUCUACCUACGGGAUUAGUUUUAAACCUCAAUAAUUGUUAUUUAGUGCCAGCUUUGAGCAUGAACAUUGUAUCUGGAUCUCGUUUAAUUCGAGAUGGCUACUCAUUUAAAUCCGAGAAUAAUGGUUGUUCUAUUUAUAUGAGAGAUAUGUUUUAUGGUCAUGCCCUGCUGGUCAAUGGUUUAUUCUUGAUGAAUCUCGAACGUGAUGUUACACAUAUUCAUAGUGUGAAUACCAAAAGAUGUAAAGUUGAUAACGAUAGUCCCACAUACUUGUGGCACUGCCGCCUUGGUCACAUUGGUGUCAAGCGCAUGAAGAAGCUCCAUGCAGAUGGACUUUUGGAGUCUCUUGAUUACGAAUCAUUUGACACGUGCGAACCAUCCCUCAUGGGUAAGAUGAACAAGACUCCGUUCUCCGGAACAAUGGAGCGAGCAACCAACUUAUUGGAAAUCAUACAUACCGAUGUGUGCGGUCCAAUGAGUGUUGAGGCUCGCGGAGGAUAUCGUUAUGUUCUCACUCUCACUGAUGACUUAAGUAGAUAUGGGUAUGUUUACCUAAUGAAACACAAGUCUGAAACCUUUGAAAAGUUCAAGGAAUUUCAGAGUGAGGUUGAGAAUCAAUGUGACAGGAAAAUAAAAUUCUUACGAUCAGAUCGUGGUGGAGAAUAUUUAAGUCACGAAUUUGGUGCGCACUUAAGGAAAUGUGGAAUCGUUUCACAACUCACGCCGCCUGGAACACCUCAGCGAAACGGUGUGUCCGAACGUCGUAAUCGCACUCUAUUGGAUAUGGUGCGAUCUAUGAUGUCUCUUACCGAUUUACCGCUCUCAUUUUGGGGCUAUGCUUUAGAGACUGCUGCAUUCACUUUAAAUAGGGCUCCGGCGAAAUCCGUUGAGACGACACCGUAUGAAUUAUGGUUUGGGAAGAAACCUAAGCUGUCGUUUCUAAAAGUUUGGGGAUGCGAUGCUUAUGUCAAGAAACUUCAACCUGAAAAGCUCGAACCCAAGUCGGAGAAAUGCGUCUUCAUAGGAUACCCUAAGGAAACUAUUGGGUAUACCUUCUACCUCAGAUCCGAAGGCAAGAUCUUUGUUGCCAAGAAUGGGUCCUUUCUGGAGAAAGAGUUUCUCUCGAAAGAAUUAAGUGGGAGGAAAGUGGAACUUGAUGAGGUGAUAGUCACCCCUUCCGAACCGGAAAGUACCGCAGCGCGGGAAGAUGUUCCUGUGGUGCCUACACCGACUGGGGAGGAAGUUAAUGAUGAUGAUCAUGAAGCUUCGGAUCAAGUUACUGCUGAACUUCGUAGGUCCACAAGGACAUGUUCCGCACCAGAGUGGUACGGCAACCCUGUCCCGGAAAUCAUGUUGUUAGACAACGGUGAACCUUCGAACUAUGAAGAAGCGAUGGCGGGCCCGGAUUCCGACAAAUGGCUAGAAGCCAUGAAAUCCGAGAUAGGAUCCAUGUACGAAAACGAAGUAUGGACUUUGACUGACUUGCCCGAUGAUCGGCGAGCCAUAGAAAAUAAAUGGAUCUUUAAGAAGAAGACGGACGCGGAUGGUAAUGUGACCAUCUAUAAGGCUCGACUUGUCGCUAAGGGUUAUCGACAAGUUCAUGGGGUUGACUACGAUGAGACUUUCUCACCCGUAGCGAAGCUGAAGUCCGUCCGAAUCAUGUUAGCAAUUGCCGCAUACUAUGAUUAUGAGAUAUGGCAGAUGGACGUCAAAACGGCAUUCCUUAACGGCUUCCUUAAGGAAGAAUUGUAUAUGAUGCAGCCGGAAGGUUUUGUCGAUCCUAAGAAUGCUAACAAAGUAUGCAAGCUCCAGCGCUCAAUCUAUGGGAUGGUGCAAGCAUCUCGGAGUUGGAACAUUCGCUUUGAUGAGAUGAUCAAAGUGUUUGGGUUUACACAGACUUAUGGAGAAGCCUGUGUUUACAAGAAAUUGAGUGGGAGCUCUGUAGCAUUUGCCUUAUUGUAUGUGGAUGACAUACUAUUGAUGGGAAAUGAUAUAGAAUUAUUGGAAAGUAUAAAGGCCUAUUUGAAUAAGUGUUUUUCAAUGAAGGACCUUGGAGAAGCUGCUUAUAUAUUAGGCAUCAAGAUCUAUAGAGAUAGAUCAAGACGCCUCAUUGGUCUUUCACAGAGUACGUACCUUGACAAGAUAUUGAAAAAGUUCAAUAUGGAUCAGUCCAAGAAGGGGUUCUUUCCUGUAUUGCAAUGUGUGCAAUUGAGCACGGCUCAAUGCCCGACCACGGCAGAAGAUAGAGAAAAGAUGAGUGUCAUCCCCUAUGCCUCGGCCAUAGGGUCUAUUAUGUAUGCCAUGCUGUGUACCAGACCUAAUGUAAACCUUGCCGUAAGUUUGGUAGGAAGGUACCAAAGUAAUCCCGGCAUGGAACACUGGACAGCGGUCAAGAAUAUCCUGAAGUACCAGAAGAGGACUAAGGAUAUGUUUCUCGUUUAUGGAGGUGACGAAGAGCUCGUCGUAAAGGGUUACGUCGACGCUAGCUUCGACACAGAUCUGGAUGACUCGAAGUCACAAACCGGAUACGUGUAUAUUUUGAAUGGAGGAGCAGUAAGCUGGUGCAGUUGCAAGCAAAGCGUUGUGGCGGGAUCUACAUGUGAAGCGGAGUACAUGGCAGCCUCGGAGGCAGCACAGGAAGCAGUCUGGAUGAAGGAGUUCAUUACCGACCUAGGGGUGAUUCCCAAUGCGUCGGGCCCGAUGACUCUCUUCUGUGACAACACUGGAGCUAUUGCCCUUGCGAAGGAGCCCAGGUUUCACAGGAAGACCAGGCAUAUCAAGCGUCGCUUCAACUCCAUUCGUGAAAGUGUUCAAAAUGGAGGCAUAGAUAUUUGUAAAGUACAUACGGACCUGAAUGUAGCAGAUCCGUUGACUAAACCUCUCCCUAGAGCAAAACAUGAUCAACACCAGGACGCAAUGGGUGUUCGAUUCAUCACAAUGUAACUAGAUUAUUGACUCUAGUGCAAGUGGGAGACUGUUGGAAAUAUGCCCUAGAGGCAAUAAUAAAUGGUUAUUAUUAUAUUUCUUUGUUCACGAUAAUUGUCUAUUGUUCAUGCUAUAAUUGUGUUAUCCGGAAAUCGUAAUACAUGUGUGAAUACAUAGACCACAACGUUUCCCUAGUAAGCCUCUAGUUGACUAGCUCGUUGAUCAACAGAUAGUCAUGGUUUCCUGACUAUGGACAUUGGAUGUCAUUGAUAACGGGAUCACAUCAUUAGGAGAAUGAUGUGAUGGACAAGACCCAAUCCUAAGCAUAGCUCAAAGAUCACGUAGUUCGUUUGCUAGAGCUUUUCCAAUGUCAAGUAUCUUCUACUUAGAACAUGAGAUCGUGCAACUCCCGGACACCGUAGGAGUACUUUGGGUGUGCCAAACGUCACAACGUAACUGGGUGACUAUAAAGGUACACUACGGGUAUCUCCGAAAGUGUCUGUUGGGUUGGCACGGAUCGAGACUGGGAUUUGUCACUCCGUAUGACAGAAAGGUAUCUCUGGGCCCACUAGGUAAUGCAUCAUCAUAAUGAGCUCAAUGUGACUAAGGAGUUAGUCACGGGAUCAUGCAUUACGGUAUGAGUAAAGAGACUUGCCGGUAACGAGAUUGAACAAGGCUCGGGCAAGUAACAUACCGAUUGACAAAGGGAAUUGUAUACGGGAUUGAUUGAAUCCUCGACAUCGUGGUUCAUCCGAUGAGAUCAUCGUGGAACAUGUGGGAGCCAACAUGGGUAUCCAGAUCCCGCUGUUGGUUAUUGACCGGAGAGGCGUCUCGGUCAUGUCUGCAUGUCUCCCGAACCCGUAGGGUCUACACACUUAAGGUUCGGUGACGCUAGGGUUGUAGAGAUAUGAGUAUGCGGAAACCCGAAAGUUGUUCGGAGUCCCGGAUGAGAUCCCGGACGUCACAAGGAGUUCCGGAAUGGUCCGGAGGUGAAGAAUUAUAUAUAGGAAGUCAAGGUUCGUCCACCGGGAAAGUUUUGGGGGUCAUCGGUAUUGUACCGGGACCACUGGAAGGGUCCCGGGGGUCCACCGGGUGGGGCCACCUAUCCCGGAGGGCCCCAUGGGCUGAAGUGGGAAGAGAACCAGCCCUUAGUGGGCUGGGGCGCCCCCCAUGGGCCUCCCCCCUGCGCCUAGGGUUGGAAACCCUAGGGUGGGGGGGCGCCGCACUUGCCUUGGGGGGCAAGUCUCCCCCUGGCCGCCGCCCCCCCAUGCAGAUGGGUUCCAGGCCGGCGCCCCCCCUUCCAGGGGGCCUAUAUAAAGGGGGGAGGGAGGGCAGCACUACUACAGCCUUUGGCGCCUCCCUCCUCCCCUGCAACACCUCUCCCUCUCGCAGAAGCUCGGCGAAGCCCUGCCGAGAUCCCGCUACAUCCACCACCACGCCGUCGUGCUGCUGGAUUUCCAUCAACCUCUCCUUCCCCCUUGCUGGAUCAAGAAGGAGGAGAACGUCGCUGCUCCGUAUGUGUGUUGAACGCGGAGGUGCCGUCCGUUCGACACUCGGUCAUCGGUGAUUUGGAUCACGACGAGUACGACUCCAUCAACCUAGUUCAUUGGAACACUUCCGCUCGCGAUCUACAAGGGUAUGUAGAUGCACUCCUUACCCCUCGCUGCUAGUAUACUCCAUAGAUGGCUCUUGGUGAUGCGUAGGAAAUUUUAAAAUUCUGCUACGAUCCCCAACAACGGAAUGGGUCAAGUCAAUCACAUCAUUCUCCUAAUGAUGUGAUCCCGUUAAUCAAAUGACAACUCAUGUCUAUGGCUAGGAAACAUAACCAUCUUUGAUCAACGAGCUAGUCAAGUAGAGGCAUACUAGUGACACUCUGUUUGUCUAUGUAUUCACACAAGUAUUAUGUUUCCGGUUAAUACAAUUCUAGCAUGAAUAAUAAACAUUUAUCAUGAUAUAAGGAAAUAAAUAAUAACUUUAUUAUUGCCUCUAGGGCAUAUUUUUUUCAGUCUCCCACUUGCACUAGAGUCAAUAAUCUAGUUCACAUCACCAUGUGAUUAACACCCAUAGUUCACAUCGUCAUGUGACAAACACCCAAAGGGUUUACUAGAUUCAAUAAUCUAGUUCACAUCGCUAUGUGAUUAACACCCAAAGAGUACUAAGGUGUGAUCAUGUUUUGCUUGUGAGAGAAGUUUAGUCAACGGGUCUGCCACAUUCAGAUCCGUAUGUAUUUUGCAAAUUUCUAUGUCAACAAUGCUCUGCACGGAGCUACUCUAGCUAAUUGCUCCCACUUUCAAUAUGUAUCCAGAUUGAGACUUAGAGUCAUCUGGAUCAGUGUCAAAAUUUGCAUUGAUGUAACCCUUUACGAUGAACCUUUUUGUCACCUCCAUAAUCGAGAAACAUAUCCUUAUUCCACUAAGGAUAAUUUUGACCGCUGUCUAGUGAUCUACUCCUAGAUCACUAUUGUACUCCCUUGCCAAAAUCAGUGUAGGGUAUACAAUAGAUCUGGUACACAGCAUGGCAUACUUUAUAGAACCUAUGGCUGAGGCAUAGGGAAUGACUCUCAUUCUCUUUCAAUCUUCUGCCGUGGUCGGGCUUUGAGUCUUACUCAAUUUCACACCUUGUAACACAGGCAAGAACUCUUUCUUUGACUAUUCCAUUUUGAACUACUUCAAAAUCUUGUCAAGGUAUGUGCUCAUUGAAAAAACUUAUCAAGCGUCUUGAUCUAUCUCUAUAGAUCUUGAUACUCAAUAUGUAAGCAGCUUCACCGAGGUCUUUCUUUGAAAAACUCCUUUCUAAUACUCCUUUAUGCUUUUCAGAAAAUUUUACAUUAUUUCCGAUCAACAAUAUAUCAUUCACAUAUACUUAUCAGAAAUGCUGUAGUGCUCCCACUCACUUUCUUGUAAAUACAUGCUUCACCGCAAGUCUGUAUAAAACUGUAUGCUUUGAUCAACUCAUCAAAGCGUAUAUUCCAACUCCGAGAUGCUUGCACCAGUCCAUAGAUGGAUCGCUGGAGUUUGCACAUUUUGUUAACACCUUUAGGAUCGACAAAACCUUCUGGUUGCAUCAUAUACAACUCUUCUUUAAUAAAUCCAUUAAGGAAUGCAGCUUUGUUUAUCCAUUUGCCAGAUUUCAUAAAAUGCGGCAAUUGCUAACAUGAUUCGGACAGACUUAAGCAUAGAUACGAGUGAGAAACUCUCAUCGUAGUCAACACCUUGAACUUGUCGAAAACCUUUCGCGACAAUUCUAUCUUUGUAGAUAGUAACACUACUAUCAGCGUCCGUCUUCCUCUUGAAGAUCCAUUUAAUCUCAAUGGCUCGCCGAUCAUUUGGGCAAGUCAAUCAAAGUCCAUACUUUGUUCUCAUACACGGAUCCCAUCUCAGAUUUCAUGGCCUCAAACUAUUUCGCGGAAUCUGGGCUCAUCAUCGCUUCCUCAUAGUUCGUAGGUUCGUCAUGGUCAAGUAACAUGACCUCCAGAAUAGGAUUACCGUACCACUCUGGUGUGGAUCUCACUCUGGUUGACCUACGAGGUUCGGUAGUAACUUGAUCUGAAGUUACAUGAUCAUCAUCAUUAGCUUCCUCACUAAUUGGUGUAGGAGUCACAGGAACCGGUUUCUGUGAUGAACUACUUUCCAAUAAGGGAGCAGGUACAGUUACCUCAUCAAGUUCUACUUUCCUCCCACUCACUUCUUUCGAGAGAAACUCCUUCUCUAGAAAGGAUCCAAAUUUAGCAACGAAUAUCUUGCCUUCGGAUCUGUGAUAGAAGGUGUACCCAACUGUCUCCUUUGGGUAUCCUAUGAAGACACGUUUCUCCGAUUUGGGUUUGAGCUUAUCAGGAUGAAACUUUUUCUUAUAAGCAUUCCAAUCCCAAACUUUAAGAAACGGCAACUUUGGUUUCUUGCCAAACCACAGUUCAUAUGGUGUCGUCUCAACGGAUUUAGAUGGUGCCCUAUUUAACAUGAAUGCAGCUGUCUCUAAUGCAUCACCCCAAAACGAUAGUGGUAAAUCGGUAAGAGACAUCAUAGAUUGCACUAUAUCCAAUAAAGUACGGUUAUGACGUUCGGACACACCAUUAUGUUGUGGUGUUCCAGGUGGUACGAAUUUGUGAAACUAUUCCACAUUGUUUUCAUCGAAGCCAAAACUCAUAACUCAAAUAUUUGUCUCCGCGAUCAGAUCGUAGAAACUUUAUUUUCUUGUCACGAUGAUUUUCCACUUCACUCUGAAAUUCUCUGAACUUUUCAAAUGUUUCAGACUUAUGUUUCAUCAGGUAGAUAUACCCAUAUCUGCUCAAAUCAUCUGUGAAGGUCAGAAAAUAACGAUACCCGCCGCGAGCCUCAACACUCAUCGGAUCGCAUACAUCAGUAUGUAUUAUUUCCAAUAAGCCAGUUGCUUGCUCCAUUGAAGGCAUCUUACCCAAGAGGCAUGGUUCGCAAGCAUCAAGUGAUUAUUAAUCAAGUGAUUCCAAAAUCCCAUCAGCAUGGAGUUUCUUCAUGCGUUUUACACCAAUAUGACCUAAACGGCACUGCCACAAAUAAGUUGCACUAUCAUUAUGAACUUUGCAUAUUUUUGGCUUCAAUAUUAUGAAUAUGUGUAUCACUACAGUCAAGAUCCAACAAACCAUUUUCGUUGGUGUGUAUGACCAUAGAAGGUUUUAUUCAUGUAAACAGAACAAUAAUUGUUCUCUAACUUAAAUGAAUAACCGUAUUGCAAUAAACAUGAUCAAAUCAUAUACAUGCUCAACGCAAACACCAAAUAACACUUAUUUAGGUUCAACACUAAUCCCGAAAGUAUAGGGAGUCUGCGAUGAUGAUCAUAUCAAUCUUUGGAACCACUUCCAACACACAUCGUCACUUCAGCCUUAACUAGUCACUGUUUAUUCUGCAACUCCCGUUUCGAGUUACUAAUCAUAGCAACUGAACUAGUAUCAAAUACUUAGGGGCUGCUAUAAAUACUAGUAAAGUACACAUCAAUAACAUGUAUAUCAAAUAUACCUUCCUUCACCUUGCCAUCCUUCUUAUCCGCCAAAUACUUGGGGCAGUUCCGCUUCCAGUGACCAGUUCCUUUGCAGUAGAAGCACUCAGUCUCAGGCUUAAGUCCAGACUUGGGCUUUUUCACUUGAGCAGCAACUUGCUUGCCGUUCUUCUUGAAGUUCCCCUUCUUCCCUUUGCCCCUUUUCUUGAAACUAGUGGUCUUGUCAACCAUCAACACUUGAUGUUUUUCUUGAUUUCUACUUUCGCCGAUUUUAGCAUUGCGAAGAGCUUGGGAAUUGUUUUCGUCAUCCCUUGCAUACUAUAGUUCAUCACGAAGUUCUACUAACUUGGUGAUGGUGACUAGAGAAUUCUGUCAAUCACUAUUUUAUCUGGAAGAUUAACUCCCACUUGAUUCAAGCGAUUGUAGUACCCAGACAAUCUGAGCACAUGCUCACUGCUUGAGCUAUUCUCCUCCAUUUUAUAGCUAUAGAACUUGUUGGAGACUUCAUAUCUCUCAACUCGGGUAUUUGCUUGAAAUAUUAACUUCAACUCCUGGAACAUCUCAUAUGGUCCAUGACGUUCAUAACGUCUUUGAAGUCCCGAUUCUAAGCCGUUAAGCAUGGUGCACUAAACUAUCAAGUAGUCAUCAUAUUGAGCUAGCCAAACAUUCAUAACGUCUGCAUUUGCUCCUGCAAUAGGUCUGUCACCUAGCGGUGCAUCAAGGACAUAAUUCUUCUGUGCAGCAAUGAGGAUAAUCCUCAGAUCACGGAUCCAAUCCGCAUCAUUGCUACUAACAUCUUUCAACAUAGUUUUUCUCUAGGAACAUAUCAAAAUAAACAUAGGGAAGCAACAACGCGAGCUAUUGAUCUACAACAUAAUUUGCAAAAUACUAUCAGGACUAAGUUCAUGAUAAAUUUAAGUUCAAUUAAUCAUAUUACUUAAGAACUCCCACUUAGAUAGGCAUCCCUCUAAUCCUCUAAGUGAUCACGUGAUCCAUAUCAACUAAACCAUGUCCGAUCAUCACGUGAGAUUGAGUAGUUUCAACGGUGAACAUCACUAUGUUGAUCAUAUCUACUAUAUGAUUCACACUCGACCUUUCGGUCUCCGUGUUCCGAGGCCAUAUAUGUUAUAUGCUAGGCUCGUCAAGCUUAACCUGAGUAUUCCGCGUGUGCAACUGUUUUGCACCUGUUGUAUUUGAACGUAGAGCCUAUCACACCCGAUCAUCACGUGGUGUCUCAGCACGAAGAACUUUCACAACGGUGCAUACUCAGGGAGACAGUUAUACUUUGAUAAUUUAGUGAGGGAUCAUCUUAUAAUGCUACUGUCAAUCAAAGCAAGAUAAGAUGCAUAAAAGAUAAACAUCACAUGCAAUCAAUAUAAGUGAUAUGAUAUGGCCAUCAUCAUCUUGUGCUUGUGAUCUCCAUCUCCGAAGCACCGUCAUGAUCACCAUCGUCACCGGCGCGACACCUUGAUCUUCAUCGUAGCAUCGUUGUCGUCUCGCCAAUCUUAUGCUUCUACGACUAUCGCUACCGCUUAGUGAUAAAGUAAAGCAUCACAGGGCGAUUGCAUUGCAUACAAUAAAGCGACAACCAUAUGGCUCCUGCCAGUUGCCGAUAACUCGGUUACAAAACAUGAUCAUCUCAUACAAUAAAAUUUAGCAUCAUGUCUUGACCAUAUCACAUCACAACAUGCCCUGCAAAAACAAGUUAAACGUCCUCUACUUUGUUGUUGCAAAUUUUACGUGGCUCCUACGGGCUUAGCAAGAACCAUUCUUACCUACGCAUCAAAACCACAAUGAUAGUUUGUCAAGUUGGUGCUGUUUUAACCUUCGCAAGGACCAGGCGUAGCCACACUCGGUUCAACUAAAGUUGGAGAAACUGACACCCGCCAGCCACCUGUGCGCAAAGCACGUCGGUAGAACCAGUCUCGCGUAAGCGUACGCGUAAUGUCGGUCCGGGCCGCUUCAUCCAACAAUACCGCCGAACCAAAGUAUGACAUGCUGGUAAGCAGUAUGACUUAUAUCGCCCACAACUCACUUGUGUUCUACUCGUGCAUAUAACAUCAACGCAUAAAACCAGGCUCGGAUGCCACUGUUGGGGAACGUAGUAAUUUCAAAAAAAUUCCUACGCACACGCAAGAUCAUGGUGAUGCAGAGCGACGAGAGGGGAGAGUGUUGUCCACGUACCCUCGUAGACCGAAAGCGGAAGCGAUAGCACAACGCGGUUGAUGUAGUCGUACGUCUUCACGAUCCGACCGAUCAAGUACCGAACGCACGGCACCUCCGAGUUCAGCACACGUUCAGCCCGAUCACGUCCCUCGAACUCCGAUCCAGCCGAGUGUUGAGGGAGAGUUUCGUCAGCACGACGGCGUGGGACAAUGAUGAUGUUCUACCGACGCAGGGCUUCGCCUAAGCACCGCUACAGUAUUAUCGAGGUGGACUAUGGUGGAGGGGGGCACCGCACAUGGCUAAAAGAUCAAGCGAUCGAUUGUUUUGUCCUUGGGAUGCCCCCUUGCCCCCGUAUAUAAAGGAGCAAGGGGGGGAGGUGCGGCCGGCCAGGGAGGAGGCACGCCAGGAGGAGUCCUACUCCCACCGGGAGUAGGACUCCCUCCCUUCCUUGUUGGAAUAGGAGAAGGGGGAAAGAGGUGGAUGAGAGGAAGGAAAUGGGGGCGCCGCCCCCCUCUCCUUGUCCUAUUCGGACUAGGGGGGAGGGGCGCGCGGCCCUUGCCCUGGCCGCCUCAGCUCAUCUCCACUAAGGCCCACUAUGGCCCAUUAACCCCCGGGGGGUUCCGGUAAACCCUCCGGUACUCUGGUAAAAUCCCGAUUUCACCCGGAACACUUCCGAUAUCCAAAUAUAGGCUUCCAAUAUAUCAAUCUUCAUGCUCCACCAUUUCGAGACUCCUCGUCAUGUCCGUGAUCACAUCCGGGACUCCGAACAACCUUCGGUACAUCAAAACAUAUAAACUCAUAAUAUAACUGUCAUCGAAACUUUAAGCGUGCGGACCCUACGGGUUCGAGAACUAUAUAGACAUGACCGAGACACGUCUCCGGUCAAUAACCAAUAGUGGAACCUGGAUGCUCAUAUUGGCUCCCACAUAUUCUACGAAGAUCUUUAUCGGUCAGACCGCAUAACAACAUACAUUGUUCCCUUUGUCAUCGGUAUGUUACUUGCCCGAGAUUCGAUCGUCGGUAUCUCAAUACCUAGUUCAAUAUCAUUACCGGCAACUCUCUUUACUCGUUCCGUAAUACAUCAUCCCACAACUAACUCAUUAGUUGCAAUGCUUGCAAGGCUUAUGUGAUGUGCAUUCCCGAGAGGGCCCAGAGAUACCUCUCCGACAAUCGGAGUGACAAAUCCUAAUCUCGAAAUACGCCAACCCAACAAGUACCUUCGGAGACACCUGUAGAGCACCUUUAUAAUCACCCAGUUAUGUUGUGACGUUUGGUAGCACACAAAGUGUUCCUCCGGUAAACGGGAGUUGCAUAAUCUCAUAGUCAUAGGAACAUGUAUAAGUCAUGAAGAAAGCAAUAGCAACAUACUAAACGAUUGAGUGCUAAGCUAACGGAAUGGGUCAAGUCAAUCACAUCAUUCUCCUAAUGAUGUGAUCCCAUUAAUCAAAUGAAAACUCAUAUCUAUGGCUAGGAAACAUAACCAUCUUUGAUCAACGAGCUAGUCAAGUAGAGGCAUACUAGUGACACUCUGUUUGUCUAUGUAUUCACACAAGUAUUAUGUUUCCGGUUAAUACAAUUCUAGCAUGAAUAAAAAACAUUUAUCAUGAUAUAAGGAAAUAAAUAAUAACUUUAUUAUUGCCUCUAGGGCAUAUUUCCUUCAGUUACGGGAAUACGGGAGUACAUAUGGGCCUUAGUGGGCUUUAGGGGGAAAAGAGGAGAAGCCACGAGGGCUGGCCGCGCGCCCCCCAUGGGCCUAGUCCGAAUUGGACUAGGGGAGGGGCUGCACCCCCUCUUUCCUUCUCCUCCCCCUCUCCUUCCUUCCCCCUCCUAUAGUAGGACUGGAAAGGAGGAAUCCUACUCCUACUAGGAGGAGGAUUCCUCCCCCCUUUUGGUGCGCCUACAGAGACCAGCCGACCUCCCCUUGCUCCUUUAUAUACGGGGGCAGGGGGCACCCUAGGACACACAAGUUGAUUGUUCCAAGCCGUGUGCGGUGCCCCCUCCAACAUAAUCCACCUCGUUCAUAUCGUAGCGGUGCUUAAGCGAAGCCCUGCGUCGGUAGCAACAUCAUCACCGUCAUCACGUUGUCGUGCUGACGGAACUCUCCUGUGAAGCUCUGCUGGAUCGGAGUUCGUGGGACGUCAUCGAGUUGAACGUGUGCUGAACUCGGAGGUGUCGUACGUUCGGUAGUUGGAUCAGUCGGAUCGUGAAGACGUACGACUACAUCAACCGCGUUGUCAUAACGCUUCCGCUUUUGGUCUACGAGGGUACGUGGACAACACUCUCCCCUCUCGUUGCUAUGCAUCACCAUGAUCUUGCGUGUGCGUUGGAAAAUUUUGAAGUUACUACAUUCCCCUACGGUGGCAUCCGAGCCAGGUUUAUACGUAGAUGUUGUUGGAGAUCGUUGCAGAAAUUAAAAAAAAUUCUACGCAUCACCAAGAACAAUCUAUGGAGUCUCCUAGCAACGAGAGGGAAAAGAGUGCAUCUACAUACCCUUGUAGAUCGCGAGCGGAAGCGUUCAAGUGAACGGGGUUGAUGGAGUCAUACUCGUCGUGAUCCAAAUCACCGAUGACCGAGCGCCGAACGGACGGCACCUCCGCGUUCAACACACGUACGGUUGGGGAAGACGUCUCCUCCUUCUUGAUCCAGCAAGGGGGGGGGAGAGGUUGAUGGAGAUCCAGCAGCACGACGGCGUGGUGGUGGAAGCAGCGGGGAUCUCGGCAGGGCUUCGCCAAGCUCAGCGAGAAGGAGAGGUGUCACGGGAGGGAGAGGGAGGCGCCAGGGCUUGGGGUGCUGCUCCCAUGCGCCUCCCCACUAUAUAUAGGGGUGGAGGGGCCUGGUUUCUUGCCCUCCAAGUCCAUUGGGGCGUUGGCAAAGGUGGGGGAAAGAAAUCCCAUCAUUUCCCUUCCCCACCGAUUGUUAUCCCCCUUUUUUAGGGAUCUUGAUCUUAUCCCUUCGGGAUAUGAUCUUAUUCCUUCUAAGGUGGGAUCUUGGUGCGCCUUGACCAGGGGUGUGGGGACUUGCCCCCACUACCCACGUUCAUGUGGGUCCCCCAUGCAGGUGGGCCCCACUUCGGAACCUUCUAGAACCUUCCCGGUACAAUACCGAAAAAUCCCGAACAUUUUCCGGUCGCCAAAAUAGGACUUCCCAUAUAUAAAUCUUUACCUCCGGACCAUUCCGGAACUCCUCGUGACGUCCGGGAUCUCAUCCGGGACUCCGAACAACAUUCGGUUAACCGCAUACUAAUAUCUCUACAACUCUAGCGUCACCGAACCUUAAGUGUGUAGACCCUACGGGUUCAGGAGACAUGCAGACAUGACCGAGACGACUCUCCGGUCAAUAACCAACAGCAGGAUCUGGAUACCCAUGUUGGCUCCCACAUGUUCCACGAUGAUCUCAUCGGAUGAACCACGAUGUCGAGGAUUCAAUCAAUCCCGUAUACAAUUCCCUUUGUCAAUCGGUACGUUACUUACCCGAGAUUCGAUCGUCGGUAUCCCAAUACCUUGUUCAAUCUCGUUACCGGCAAGUCACUUUACUCGUACCGUAAUGCAUGAUCCCGUGACCAAACACUUGGUCACAUUGAGCUCAUUAUGAUGAUGCAUUACCGAGUGGGCCCAGAGAUACCUCUCCGUCAUACGGAGUGACAAAUCCCAGUCUCGAUUCGUGCCAACCCAACAGACACUUUCGGAGAUACCCGUACUGCACCUUUAUAGCCACCCAGUUACGUUGUGAUGUUUGGCACACCCAAAGCACUCCUAUGGUAUCCGGGAAUUGCACACAAUCUCAUGGUCUAAGGAAAUGAUACUUGACAUUUGGAAAAGCUCUAGCAAACGAACCACCCGAUCUUGUGCUAUGCUUAGGAUUGGGUCUUGUCCAUCACAUCAUUCUCCUAAUGAUGUAAUCCCGUUAUCAAUGACAUCCAAUGUCCAUAGUCAGGAAACCAUGACUAUCUGUUGAUCAACGAGCUAGUCAACUAGAGGCUCACUAGGGACAUGUUGUGUUCUAUGUAUUCACACAUGUAUUACGAUUUCCGGAUAACACAAUUAUAGCAUGAACAAUAGACAAUUAUCAUGAACAAGGAAAUAUAAUAAUAACCAUUUUAUUAUUGCCUCUAGGGCAUAUUUGCAACAGUCUCCCACUUGCACUAGAGUCAAUAAUCUAGUUACAUUGUGAUGAAUCGAACACUCAUUGCGUCCUGGUGUUGAUCAUGUUUUGCUCUAGGGAGAGGUUUAGUCAACGGAUCUGCUACAUUCAGGUCCGUAUGUACUUUACAAAUAUCUAUGCCUCCAUUUUGAACACUUUAACGAAUGGAGUUGAAGCGACGCUUGAUAUGCCUGGUCUUCCUGUGAAACCUGGGCUCCUUCGCAAGGGCAAUGGAUCCAGUGUUGUCACAGAAGAGAGUCAUCGGGCCCGACGCAUUGGGAAUCACCCCUAGGUCGGUAAUGAACUCCUUCAUCCAGACUGCUUCUUGUGCUGCCUCCGAGGCUGCCAUGUACUCCGCUUCACAUGUAGAUCCCGCCACGACGCUUUGCUUGCAACUGCACCAGCUUACUGCUCCUCCAUUCAAAAUAUACAUGUAUCCGGUUUGUGACUUCGAGUCAUCCAGAUCUGUGUCGAAGCUAGCAUCGACGUAACCCUUUACGACGAGCUCUUCGUCACCUCCAUAAACGAGAAACAUAUCCUUAGUCCUCUUCAGGUACUUCAGGAUAUUCUUGACCGCUGUCCAGUUUUCCAUGCCGGGAUUACUUUGGUACCUUCCUACCAAACUUACGGCAAGGUUUACAUCAGGUCUGGUACACAGCAUGGCAUACAUAAUAGACCCUAUGGCCGAGGCAUAGGGGAUGACACUCAUCUUUUCUCUAUCUUCUGCCGUGGUCGGGCAUUGAGCCGUGCUCAAUUGCACACCUUGCAAUAUAGGCAAGAACCCCUUCUUGGACUGAUCCAUAUUGAACUUCUUCAAUAUCUUGUCAAGGUAUGUGCUUUGUGAAAGACCUAUGAGGCGUCUCGAUCUAUCUCUAUAGAUCUUGAUGCCUAAUAUGUAAGCAGCUUCUCCAAGGUCCUUCAUUGAAAAACACUUAUUCAAGUAGGCCUUUAUACUUUCCAAGAAUUCUAUAUUAUUUCCCAUCAAUAGUAUGUCAUCCACAUAUAAGAUGAGAAAUGCUACAGAGCUCCCACUCACUUUCUUGUAAACACAGGCUUCUCCAUAAGUCUGUGUAAACCCAAACGCUUUGAUCAACUCAUCAAAUCGAAUGUUCCAACUCCGAGAUGCUUGCACCAGCCCAUAGAUGGAGCGCUGGAGCUUGCAUACCUUGUUAGCAUUCUUAGGAUCGACAAAACCUUCCGGCUGCAUCAUAUACAAUUCUUCCUUAAGAAAGCCGUUAAGGAAUGCCGUUUUGACGUCCAUUUGCCAUAUCUCAUAAUCAUAGAAUGCGGCAAUUGCUAACAUGAUUCGGACGGACUUCAGCUUCACUACGGGUGAGAAAGUCUCAUCGUAGUCAACCCCUUGAACUUGUUGAUAACCCUUAGCGACAAGUCGAGCCUUAUAGAUGGUCACAUUACCAUCCGCGUCUGUCUUCUUCUUAAAGAUCCAUUUAUUUUCUAUGGCUCGCCGAUCAUCGGGCAAGUCAGUCAAAGUCCAUACUUCGUUUUCGUACAUGGAUCCUAUGUCGGAUUUCAUGGCUUCUAGCCAUUUGUCGGAAUCUGGGCCCGCCAUUGCUUCUUCAUAGUUCGAAGGUUCACCGUUGUCUAACAACAUGAUUUCCAAGACAGGGUUGCCGUACCACUCUGGCGCGGAACGUGUCCUUGUGGACCUACGAAGUUCAGUAGGAGCUUGAUCCGAAGUACCUUGAUCAUCAUCAUCAUUAACUUCCUCUCUAGUCGGUGCAUGCACCACAGGAACAUUUUCCUGAGCUGCGCUACUUUCCGCUUCAAGAGGCAGUACUUCAUCAAGCUCUACCUUCCUCCCACUUACUUCUUUCGAGAGAAACUCUUUCUCCAGAAAGGAUCCGUUCUUAGCAACAAAGAUCUUGCCUUCGGAUCUGAGGUAGAAGGUAUACCCAAUGGUUUCCUUAGGGUAUCCUAUGAAGACGCAUUUUUCCGACUUGGGUUCGAGCUUUUCAGGUUGAAAUUUCUUGACAUAAGCAUCGCAUCCCCAAACUUUUAGAAAUGACAGCUUAGGUUUCUUCCCAAACCAUAAUUCAUACGGUGUCGUCUCAACGGAUUUCGACGGAGCCCUAUUUAAAGUGAAUGCGGCAAUCUCUAAUGCAUAGCCCCAAAAUGAGAGCGGUAGAUCGGUAAGAGACAUCAUAGAUCGCACCAUAUCCAAUAGAGUGCGAUUACGACGUUCGGACACACCAUUUCGCGGAGGUGUUCCAGGCGGCGUGAGUUGUGAAACUAUUCCACAUUUCCUUAAGUGUGUGCCAAAUUCGUGACUCAAAUAUUCCCCUCCACGAUCUGAUCGUAAGAAUUUUAUUUUCCUGUCACGUUGAUUCUCAACCUCACUCUGAAAUUCCUUGAACUUUUCAAAGGUCUCAGACUUGUGUUUCAUUAGGUAGACAUACCCAUAUCUACUUAAGUCAUCAGUGAGAGUGAGAACAUAACGAUAGCCACCGCGAGCCUCAACACUCAUUGGACCGCACACAUCGGUAUGUAUGAUUUCCAAUAAGUUGGUUGCUCGCUCCAUUGUUCCGGAGAACGGAGUCUUGGUCAUCUUACCCAUGAGGCAUGGUUCGCACGUGUCAAAUGAUUCGUAAUCAAGAGACUCUAAAAGUCCAUCAGCAUGGAGCUUCUUCAUGCGCUUGACACCAAUGUGACCAAGACGGCAGUGCCACAAGUAUGUGGGACUAUCAUUAUAAACCUUACAUCUUUUGGUACUCACACUAUGAAUAUGUGUAACACUACGUUCGAGAUUCAUUAAGAAUAAACCAUUAACCAGCGGGGCAUGACCAUAAAACAUAUCUCUCAUAUAAAUAGAACAACCAUUAUUCUCGGAUUUAAAUGAGUAGCCAUCUCGAAUUAAACAAGAUUCUGAUACAUUGUUCAUGCUCAAAGCUGGCACUAAAUAACAAUUAUUGAGGUUUAAAACUAAUCCCGUAGGUAAAUGUAGAGGUAGCGUGCCGACGGCGAUCACAUCGACCUUGGAACCAUUCCCGACGCGCAUCGUCACCUCGUCCUUUGCCAGUCUCCGUUUAUUCCGCAGCUCCUGCUUUGAGUUACAAAUAUGAGCAACCGCACCGGUAUCAAAUACCCAGGAGCUACUACAGUGCUGGUAAGGUACACAUCAAUAACAUGUAUAUCACAUAUACCUUUGGUGUUGCCGGCCUUCUUGUCCGCUAAGUACUUGGGGCAGUUCCGCUUCCAGUGACCACUUCCCUUGCAAUAAAAGCACUCAGUCUCAGGCUUGGGUCCAUUCUUUGGCUUCUUCCCGGCAACUGGCUUACCGGGCGCGGCAACUCCCUUGCUGUCCUUCUUGAAGUUCUUCUUACCCUUGCCUUUCUUGAACUUAGUGGUUUUAUUCACCAUCAACACUUGAUGUUCCUUUUUGAUCUCCACGUCCGCUGAUUUCAGCAUUGAAUAUACCUCAGGAAUGGUCUUUUCCAUCCCCUGCAUAUUGAAGUUCAUCACAAAGCUCUUGUAGCUCGGUGGAAGCGACUGAAGGAUUCUGUCAAUGACCGCGUCAUCCGGGAGAUUAACUCUCAGCUGAGUCAAGCGGUUGUGUAACCCAGACAUUUUGAGUAUGUGCUCACUGACAGAACUAUUUUCCUCCAUCUUACAACUGAAGAACUUGUCGGAGACUUCAUAUCUCUCGACCCGGGCAUGAGCUUGGAAAACCAUUUUUAGCUCUUCGAACAUCUCUAUGCUCCGUGUUGCUCAAAACGCUUUUGGAGCCCCGGUUCUAAGCUGUAAAGCAUGCCGCACUAAACGAGGGAGUAAUCAUCAGCACGCUGCUGCCAAGCAUUCAUAACGUCUUGGUUCUCUGGGAUGGGUGCGUCACCUAGCGGUGCUUCUAGGACAUAAUCUUUCUUGGCAGCUAUGAGGAUGAUCCUCAGGUUCCGGACCCAGUCCGUAUAGUUGCUGCCAUCAUCUUUCAGCUUGGUUUUCUCUAGGAACGCGUUGAAGUUGAGGGCAACAUUAGCGUGGGCCAUUUGAUCUACAAGACAUAUUGUAAAGAUUUUAGACUAAGUUCAUGAUAAUUAAGUUCAUCUAAUCAAAUUAUUCAAUGAACUCCCACUCAGAUAGACAUCCCUCUAGUCAUCUAAGUGAAACAUGAUCCGAGUCAACUAGGCCGUGUCCGAUCAUCACGUGAGACGGACUAGUCAACAUCGGUGAACAUCUUCAUGUUGAUCGUAUCUUCUAUACGACUCAUGCUCGACCUUUCGGUCUUCCGUGUUCCGAGGCCAUGUCUGUACAUGCUAGGCUCGUCAAGUCAACCUAAGUGUAUUGCGUGUGUAAAUCUGGCUUAUACCCGUUGUAUUCGAACGUUAGAAUCUAUCACACCCGAUCAUCACGUGGUGCUUUGAAACAACGAACCUUCGCAACGGUGCACAGUUAGGGGGAACACUUUCUUGAAAUUAUUGCGAGGGAUCAUCUUAUUUAAGCUACCGUCGUUCUAAGCAAAUAAGAUGUAAAACAUGAUAAACAUCACAUGCAAUCAAAUAGUGACAUGAUAUGGCCAAUAUCAUUUUGCUCCUUUUUGAUCUCCAUCUUCGGGGCGUCAUGAUCAUCGUCGUCACCGGCAUGACACCAUGAUCUCCAUCAUCGUGUCUUCAUGAAGUUGUCACGCCAACGAUUACUUCUACUUCUAUGGCUAACGUGUUUAGCAAUAAAGUAAAGUAAUUUACAUGGCGUUAUUCAAUGACACGCAGGUCAUACAAAAAAUAAAGACAACUCCUACGGCUCCUGCCGGUUGUCAUACUCAUCGACAUGCAAGUCGUGAUUCCUAUUACAAGAACAUGAUCAAUCUCAUACAUCACAUAUAUUUCAUUCAUCACAUCCUUUUGGCCAUAUCACAUCACAAGGCAUAUGCUGCAAAAACAAGUUAGACGUCCUCUAAUUGUUGUUGCAUGUUUUUACGUGGCUUCUAUAGGUUUCUAGCAAGAACAUUUCUUACCUACGUAAAACCACAACGUGAUAUGCCAACUUCUAUUUACCCUUCAUAAGGACCCUUUUCAUCGAAUCCAAUUCGACUAAAGUGGGAGAGACAGACACCCGCUAGCCACCUUAUGCAACUAGUGCAUGUCAGUCGGUGGAACCUGUCUCACGUAAGCGUACGUGUAAGGUCGGUCGAGGCCGCUUCAUCCCACGAUGCCGCCAAAACAACAUAAGACUAGUAGUGGCAAGAAAAAUUGACAACAUCUACGCCCACCACAAGUUUGUGUUCUACUCGUGCAUAGAAACUACGCAUAGACCUAGCUCAUGAUGCCACUGUUGGAGAUCGUUGUAGAAAUUAAAAAAAAUUCUACGCAUCACCAAGAACAAUCUAUGGAGUCUUCUAGCAACGAGAGGGAAAAGAGUGCAUCUACAUACCCUUGUAGAUCGCGAGCGGAAGCGUUCAAGUGAACGGGGUUGAUGGAGUCGUACUCGUCGUGAUCCAAAUCACCGAUGACCGAGCGCCGAACGGACGGCACCUCCGCGUUCAACACACGUACGGUUGGGGAAGACGUCUCCUCCUUCUUGAUCCAGCAAGGGGGAGGGAGAGGUUGAUGGAGAUCCAGCAGCACAACGGCGUGGUGGUGGAAGCAGCGGGGAUCUCGGCAGGGCUUCGCCAAGCUCAGCGAGAAGGAGAGGUGUCACGGGAGGGAGAGGGAGGCGCCAGGGCUUGGGGUGCUGCUCCCAUGCGCCUCCCCACUAUAUAUAGGGGUGGAGGGGCCUGGUUUCUUGCCCUCCAAGUCCAUUGGGGCGUUGGCAAAGGUGGGGGAAAGAAAUCCCAUCAUUUCCCUUCCCCACCGACUGUUAUCCCCCUUUUUUAGGGAUCUUGAUCUUAUCCCUUCGGGAUAUGAUCUUAUUCCUUCUAAGGUGGGAUCUUGGUGCGCCUUGACCAGGGGUGUGGGGCCUUGCCCCCACUACCCACGUUCAUGUGGGUCCCCCAUGCAGGUGGGCCCCACUUCGGAACCUUCUAGAACCUUCCCGGUACAAUACCGAAAAAUCCUGAACAUUUUCCGGUCGCCAAAAUAGGACUUCCCAUAUAUAAAUCUUUACCUCCGGACCAUUCCGGAACUCCUCGUGACGUCCGGGAUCUCAUCCGGGACUCCGAACAACUUUCGGUUAACCGCAUACUAAUAUCUCUACAACUCUAGCGUCACCGAACCUUAAGUGUGUAGACCCUACGGGUUCGGGAGACAUGCAGACAUGACCGAGACGACUCUCCGGUCAAUAACCAACAGCGGGAUCUGGAUACCCAUGUUGGCUCCCACAUGUUCCACGAUGAUCUCAUCGGAUGAACCACGAUGUCGAGGAUUCAAUCAAUCUCGUAUACAAUUCCCUUUGUCAAUCGGUACGUUACUUACCCGAGAUUCGAUCGUCGGUAUCCCAAUACCUUGUUCAAUCUCGUUACCGGCAAGUCACUUUACUCGUACCGUAAUGCAUGAUCCCGUGACCAAACACUUGGUCACAUUGAGCUCAUUAUGAUGAUGCAUUACCGAGUGGGCCCAGAGAUACCUCUCCGUCAUACGGAGUGACAAAUCCCAGUCUCGAUUCGUGCCAACCCAACAGACACUUUCGGAGAUACCCGUAGUGCACCUUUAUAGCCACCCAGUUACGUUGUGACGUUUGGUACACCCAAAGCACUCCUAUGGUAUCCGGGAGUUGCACAAUCUCAUGGUCUAAGGAAAUGAUACUUGACAUUUGGAAAAGCUCUAGCAAACGAACUACACGAUCUUGUGCUAUGCUUAGGAUUCGGUCUUGUCCAUCACAUCAUUCUCCUAAUGAUGUGAUCCCGUUAUCAAUGACAUCCAAUGUCCAUAGUCAGGAAACCAUGACUAUCUGUUGAUCAACGAGCUAGUCAACUAGAGGCUCACUAGGGACAUGUUGUGGUCUAUGUAUCCCACAUGUAUUACGAUUUCCGGAUAACACAAUUAUAGCAUGAACAAUAGACAAUUAUCAUGAACAAGGAAAUAUAAUAAUAACCAUUUCAGUAUUGCCUCUAGGGCAUAUUUCCAACAGAUGUUAUAUGCACGAGUAGAACACAAGUGAGUUGUGGGCGAUACAAGUCAUACUGCUUACCAGCAUGUCAUACUUUGAUUCGGCGGUAUUGUUGGAUGAAGCGGCCCGGACUGACAUUACGCGUACGCUUACGCGAGACUGGUUCUACCGACGUGCUUCGCACACAGGUGGCUGGCGGGUGUCAGUUUCUCCAACUUUAGUUGAAUCAAGUGUGGCUAUGCCCGGUCCUUGUGAAGGUUAAAACAGCACUAACUUGACGAAAUACCGUUGUGGUUUUGAUGCGUAGGUAAGAACGGUUCUUGCUCAGCCCGUAGCAGCCACGUAAAACUUGCAAUAACAAAGUAGAGGACGUCUAACUUGUUUUUGCAGGGCAUGCUGUGAUGUGAUAUGGUCAAGACAUGAUGCUAAAUUUUAUUGUAUGAGAUGAUCAUGUUUUGUAACCGAGUUAUCGGCAACUCGUAGGAGCCAUAUGGUUGUCGCUUUAUUGUAUGAAAUGCAAUCACCAUGUAAUUGCUUUACUUUAUCACUAAGCGGUAGCGAUAGUCGUAGAAGCAAUAGUUGGCGAGACGAAAACGAUGCUAUGAUGGAGAUCAAGGUGUCGCGCCGGUGACGAUGGUGAUCAUGACAGUGCUUUGGAGAUGGAGAUCAAAGGCACAAGAUGAUGAUGGCCAUAUCAUAUCACUUAUAUUGAUUGCAUGUGAUGUUUAUCUUUUAUGCAUCUUAUUCUGCUUUGAUUGACGGUAGCAUUAUAAGAUGAUCUCUCACUAAAUUUCAAGGUACAAGUGUUCUCCCUGAGUAUGCACCGUUGCCAAAGUUCGUCGUGCCGAGACACCACGUGAUGAACGGGUGUGAUAAGCUCUACGCUCAUAUACAACGGGUGCAAGCCAGUUUUGCACACGCAGAAAUACUCGGGUUAAACUUGACGAGCCUAGCAUAUGCAGAUAUGGCCUCGGAACAUUGAGACCGAAAGGUCGAGCGUGAAUCAUAUAGUAGAUAUGAUCAACAUAGUGAUGUUCACCAUUGAAAACUACUCCAUCUCACGUGAUGAUCGGACAUGGUUUAGUUGAUAUGGAUCACGUGAUCACUUAGAUGAUUAGAGGGAUGUCUAUCUAAGUGGGAGUUCUUAAGUAAUAUGAUUAAUUGAACUUUAAUUUAUCAUGAACUUAGUCCUAAUAGUAUUAGCAUAUCUAUGUUGUAGAUCAAUAGCUCGCGUUUAGCUCCCCUGUUUAAUUUUUUAUAUGUUCCUAGAGAAAACUAAGUUCAAAGAUGUUAGUAGCAAUGAUGCGGAUUGGAUCCGUGAUCUGAGGAUUAUCAUCAUUGCUGCACAGAAGAAUUAUGUCCUUGAUGCACCGCUAGGUGAUAGACCGAUUGCAGGAGCAAAUGCAGACGUUAUGAACGUUUGGCAAGCUCGAUAUGAUGACUACUUGAUAGUUUAGUGCACCAUGCUUUACUCUUAGAAUCGGGGCUUCAAAGACGUUUUUUGAAAUGCCACGGAGCAUAUGAGAUGUUCCAAGAAGUUGAAAUUAGUAUUUCAGACUCAUGCCCAUGUCGAAUGGUAUGAGACCUUUGACAAGUACUUUGCCUACAAGAUGGAGGAGAAUAGCUCAACCAGUGAGCAUGUGCUCAGAUUGUCUGGGUACUACAAUUGCUUGAAUCUAGUGGGAGUUAAUCUUCCAGAUAAGAUAGUAAUUGACAAAGUUCUCUAGUCACUAUCACCAAGUUACUAGAACUUCGUGAUGAACUAUAAUAUGCAAGGGAUGAUGAAAGUAAUUCCCAAGCUCUUCGCGAUGCUGAAACCGGCGAAGGUAGAAAUCAGGAAAAAGCAUCAAAUGUUGAUGGUUUACAAGACCACUAGUUUCAAGAAAAGGGCAAAGGAAGAGAAAGGGAACUUCAAGAAAGAAUGAAAAACAAGUUGUCACUCCUGUGAAGAAGACCAAAGCUAGACCCAAGCCUGAAACUGAGUGCUUCUACUGCAAAGGAAGUGGUCACUGGAAGUGGAACUGCCCUAGAUACUUGGCAGGUAAGAAGGAUGGUAAAGUGAACAAAGGUAUAUUGGAUAUACAUGUUAUUGAUGUGUACUUUACUAGUGUUUAUAGAAACCCCUCGGCAUUUGAUACUAGUUCAGUUGCUAAGAGUAGUAACUCGAAAUGGGAGUUGCAGAAUGAACAGAAACUAGUUAAGGGCGAGGUGACGAUGUGUGUUGGAAGUAGUUCCAAGAUUGAUAUGAUCAUCAUCGCACACUCCCUAUACUUUCGGGAUUAGUGUUGAACCUAAAUAAGUGUUAUUUGGUGUUUGCGUUAAGCAUGAAUAUGAUUUGAGCAUGUUCAUUGCAAUACGGUUAUUCAUUUAAGUUAGAGAAUAAUUGUUGUUCUGUUUACAUGAAUAAAACCUUCUAUGGUCAUACACCCAAUUAAAAUGGUUUGUUGGAUCUCGAUCGUAGUGGUACACAUAUUCAUAAUAUUGAAGCCAAAAGAUGCAAAGUUAAUAAUGAUAGUGCAACUUAUUUGUGGCACUGCCAUUUAGGUCAUAUUGGUGUAAAGCGUAUGAAGAAAAUAUAUGCUGAUGGGCUUUUGGAAUCACUUGAUUAUGAAUCAGUUGAUGCUUGCGAACCAUGCCUCAUGGGCAAGAUGACUAAGACUCCGUUCUCUAGAACAAUGGAGCAAGCAACUGACUUAUUGAAAAUAAUACGUACUGCUGUAUGCGAUCCGAUGAGUGUUGAGGCUCGCGGCCGGUAUCGUUAUUUUCUGACCUUCAUAGAUGAUUUGAGCAGAUAUGGGUAUAUCUACUUGAUGAAACAUAAGUCUGAAACAUUUGAAAAGUUCAUAUAAUUUCAGAGUGAAGUGGAAAAUCAUCGUAACAAGAAAAUAAAGUUUCUACGAUCUGAUCGUGGAGGAGAAUAUUUGAGUUAAGAGUUUGGUCUUCAAUUAAAACAAUGUGGAAUAGUUUCACAAAUUCAUGCCAACUGGAACACCACAGCAUAAUGGUGUGUCCGAACAUCAUAACCGUACUUUAUUGGAUAUAGUGCAAUCUAUGAUGUCUCUUACCGAUUUACCACUAUCGUUUUGGGGUUAUGCAUUAGAGACAGCUGCAUUCACGUUAAAUAGGGCACCAUCUAAAUCCGUUGAGAUGACACCAUAUGAACUGUGGUUUGGCAAGAAACCUAAGCUGUCGUUUCUUAAAGUUUGGGGCUGCGAUGCUUAUGUGAAAAAGCUUCAACCUGAUAAGCUCAAACCCAAAUCGGAGAAGUGCGUCUUCAUAGGAUACCCAAAAAGAAAAUGUUGGGUACACCUUCUAUCACAGAUCCGAAGGCAAGAUCUUUGUUGCUAAAAAUGGAUCCUUUCUACAGAAGGAGUUUCUCUCGAAAGAAGUGAGUGGGAGGAAAGUAGAACUUGAUGAGGUAAUUGUACCUGCUCCCUUAUUGGAAAGUAGUUCAUCAUAGAAAACUGUUCCUGUGACUCCUACACCAAUUAGUGAGGAAGCUAAUGAUGAUGAUCAUAUAACUUCAGAUCAAGUUGCUACCGAACCUCGUAGGUAAACCAGAGUGAGAUCCGCACCAGAGUGGUACAGUAAUCCUAUUCUGGAGGUCAUGUUACUUGACCAUGACGAACCUACGAACUAUGAGGAAGCGGUGAUGAGCCCAGAUUCCGCAAAAUGGCUUGAGGCCAUGAAAUCUGAGAUGGGAUCCAUGUAUGAGAACAAAGUGUGGACUUUGGUUGACUUGCUCGAUGAUCGGCAAGCCAUAGAAAAUAAAUGGAUCUUCAAGAGGAAGACGGACGCUGAUAGUAGUGUUACUAUCUACAAAGCUAGACUUGUUAAAAAAGGUUUUGACAAAGUUCAAGGUGUUGACUAACGAUGAGAUUUUCUCACUCGUAGCGAUGCUUAAGUCUGUCCGAAUCAUGUUAGCAAAUUGCCAUAUUUUAUGAAAUCUGGCAAAUGGAUGUCAAAACUACAUUCCUUAAUGGAUUUCUUAAAGAAGAGUUGUAUAUGAUGCAACCAGAAGGUUUUGUCGAUCCUAAAGGUGCUAACAAAAAGUGCAAGCUCCAUCGAUCCAUCUAUGGACUGGUGCAAGCAUCUCGGAGUUGGAAUAUACGUUUUGAUGAGUUGAUCAAAGCAUAUAGUUAUAUACAGACUUGUGGUGAAGCCUGUAUUUACAAGAAAGUGAGUGGGAGCACUACAGUAUUUCUGAUAAGUAUAUGCUAAUGACAUAUUAUUGAUCGGAAAUAGUGUAGAAUUUUCUGGAAAGCAUAAAGGAGUAUUUGAAAUGAGUUUUUCAAAGAAAGACCUCGAUGAAGCUGCUUACAUAUUGAGCAUCAAGAUCUAUAGAGAUAGAUCAAGACGCUUGAUAAGUUUUUUCAAUGAGUACAUACCUUGACAAGAUUUUGAAGUAGUUCAAAAUGGAACAGUCAAAGAAAUAGUUCUUGCCUAUGUUACAAGGUGUGAAAUUGAGUAAGACUCAAAGUCCGACCACGGCAGAAGAUAGAAAGAGAAUGAAAGUCAUUCCCUAUGCCUCAGCCAUAGGUUCUAUAAAGUAUGCCAUGCUGUGUACCAGAUCUAUUGUAUACCCUACACUGAGUUUGGCAAGGGAGUACAAUAGUGAUCUAGGAGUAGAUCACUGGACAGCGGUCAAAUUUAUCCUUGAAAGUGGGAGCAAUUAGCUAGAGUAGCUCCGUGCAGAGCAUUGUAGACAUAGAAAUUUGCAAAAUACAUACGGAUCUGAAUGUGGCAGACCCGUAGACUAAAAUUUCUCUCACAGGCAAAACAUGAUCAUACCUUAUACUCUUGGAUGUUAAUCACAUAGCGAUGUGAACUAGAUUAUUGACUCUAGUAAACCUUUUGAGUAUUGGUCACAUGGCGAUGUGAACUAUGGGUGUUAAUCACAUGGUGAUGUGAACUAUUGGUGUUAAAUCACAUAGCAAUGUGAACUAGAUUACUGACUCUAGUGCAAGUGGGAGACUGAAGGAAAUAUGCCCUAGAGGCAAUAAUAAAGUUGUUAUUUAUAUUUCCUUAUAUCAUGAUAAAUGUUUAUUAUUCAUGCUAGAAUUGUAUUAACCGGAAACUUAGUACAUGUGUGAAUACAUAGACAAAAACAGUGUCACUAGUAUGCCUCUACUUGACUAGCUCGUUGAAUCAAAGAUGGUUACGUUUCCUAUCCAUAGACAUGAGUUGUCAUUUGAUUAACGGGAUCACAUCAUUGGAGAAUGAUGUGAUUGACUUGACCCAUUCCGUUAGCUUCGCAUUUGAUCGUUUAGUAUAUUGUUAUUGCUUUCUUCAUGACUUAUACAUGUUUCUAUGACUAUGAGAUUAUGCAACUCCCGAAUACCGGAGGAACACCUUGUGUGCUAUCAAACGUCACAACGUAACUGGGUGAUUAUAAAGAUGCUCUACAGGUGUCUCCGAAGGUGUUUGUUGGGUUGGCAUAGAUCGAGAUUAGGAUUUGUCACUCCGAGUAUCGGAGAGGUAUCUCUGGGCCCUCUCGGUAAUGCACAUCACUAUAAGCCUUGCAAGCAAUGUAACUAAUGAGUUAGUUGCGGGAUGAUGUAUUACGGAACGAGUAAAGAGACUUGCCAAUAACGAGAUUGAACUAGGUAUUGAGAUACCGACGAUCGAAUCUCGGGCAAGUAACAUACCGAUGACAAAGGGAACAACGUAUGUUGUUAUGCGGUUUGACCGAUAAAGAUCUUCGUAGAAUAUGUGGGAGCCAAUAUGAGCAUCCAGGUUCCGCUAUGGGUUAUUGACCGGAAACGUGUCUCAGUCAUGUCUACAUAGUUCUCGAACCCGUAGGGUCCGCACGCUUAACGUUCGGUGACGAUCGGUAUUAUGAGUUUAUGUGUUUUGAUGUACCGAAGGUAGUUCGGAGUCCCGGAUGAGAUCGGGGACAUGGCGAGGAGUCUCGAAAUGGUCGAGACGUAAAGAUCGAUAUAUUGGACGACUAUAUUCGGACAUCGGAAAGGUUCCGAGUGAUUCGGGUAUUUUUCGGAGUACCGGGGGAGUUACGGGAAUACGGGAGUACACAUGGGCCUUAGUGGGCUUUAGGGGGAAAAGAGGAGAAGCCAAGAGGGCUGGCCGCACGCCCCCCAUGGGCCUAGUCCGAAUUGGACUAGGGGAGGGGCUGCACCCCCUCUUUCCUUCUCCUCCCCCUCUCCUUCCUUCCCCCUCCUAGUAGGACUAGGAAAGGAGGAAUCCUACUCCUACUAGGAGGAGGAUUCCUCCCCCCUUUUGGCGCGCCUAGAGAGGCCAGCCGACCUCCCCUUGCUCCUUUAUAUACGGGGUCAGGGGCACCCUAGGACACACAAGUUGAUUGUUCCAAGCCGUGUGCGGUGCCCCCUCCAACAUAAUCCACCUCGUUCAUAUCGUAGCGGUGCUUAAGCAAAGCCCUGCGUCGGUAGCAACAUCUUCACCGUCAUCAUGCUGUCGUGCUGACGGAACUCUCCUGUGAAGCUCUGCUGGAUCGGAGUUCGUGGGACGUCAUCGAGUUGAACGUGUGCUGAACUCGGAGGUGUCGUACGUUCGGUAGUUGGAUCAGUCGGAUCGUGAAGACGUACGACUACAUCAACCGCGUUGUCAUAACGCUUCCGCUUUUGGUCUACGAGGGUACGUGGACAACACUCUCCCCUCUCGUUGCUAUGCAUCACCAUGAUCUUGCGUGUGCGUAGGAAAAUUUUGAUAUUACUACGUUCCCCUACACAUUGGUCCUUUGUGCACGAGGCUCUUCGGUCAGACUGGGUGGCCCUGGAUUUGGCAGAGUUCCUGCAAUCUGGGGCCACCCAGAGGGGACGCAACCGCCGCUUGUUCUGGCUUAUCUUUGCGACGUUGACGUGGACCCUUUGGACUACGCGUAAUAAAAUGGUGAUUGAGCGAAUCUUUCCCGCGACAGGCUUCUGACUCGUUCUUCAAAUUUCUUACAUUCUUGCAGCACUGGCAUCCGCUCGCUAGGCAGCGGGACCGCGACAAUCUGGACGCCAGCUUGGGUGCCCUUCUAGCUUCGGCGCGCCGGCUUUCAUCUCGCUCAUCGGCUUCUUAGCUUGCCACGAGGUGGCCUUUUUUGUUUCUUCUUGCUUUCCUUGGGCACAUUUGUGCCGUUGGCCCCAGCAGGCUCUAUCUAGUGUUUUGAGACUGGUUUGUAUGGAUAUUUACUUUAUAUAUAAAGCAGGGCGAAAGCCUAAUUCGGAUUAGGAAUAAAAUCUCUUUCACACAUAAGAUGAUGAAUUUCAGCAACUAGAUGUCCAUAUGCCGAGCGGAUAAG